CAAAACAUAUCCAGGAAAUCUUUGCUUGGAGAUUAUUCAAACAUGGAAAACUUGGAAUUCGCAAUUGUGAUCCCCCCAUCAACAAAAAGGUUGUGUCCAUGAACACACUUCGACUCAUCGCUAGCCAAGAACAGAACAGCUUCAGCCACAUCCUCUGGCUUAAGUGAAACACCUUUGAGGAUAGAAUAUACAUUUCGGAAUUCCUCAUCAUCCAUUUUGUAGAAAUCCUUCGACUGUUGUGUAGGAACUACGUGUGGUGACACACAGUUUACGCGAAUGCCAUGUUUUCCAAGCUCCACAGCCAAAUUCUUUGUCAGUCCCACCACCCCAUGUUUUGAACUUACGUAAUUGUGUGAAGAACCACCGCCUAUUUUCGAGCAAGUACUCGCUGUUGUGAUUAUGUUCCCACUGCGAUUCGGGAUCAUUACUCGAGCAGCGUGUUUAGCACACAAGAACGGACCUACGAGGUUUACAUUAAUAAUCUUUUCGAACUCUGAUUUUUCGAUUUCAAGAAUGCUUGGAUUUGGUAUCCCCCCAAUACCAGCAUUAUUAUGCAGAAUGUCUAAUUUCCCAAAUUUGGCAACAGCUGUGUCAAUUGCAGUUUCUACAUCGGAUUCUUUAGUCACAUCACAGUGGACGAAAAUGGCUGAUAAUUUUCCCAGUUCCUUGCAUAAUUUCUCUCCCAAUUCAUCAUUGAUGUCUGCAACCAGAACUUUAGCACCAUGUUUGACGAACAGUCUGGCAGUCGCCUCGCCGAUUCCAGUAGCAGCACCGGUGAUUAAUGCUACCUUCCCUUCCAGCCUAGGUUCAUACGUUUUGUUAGUACAAUAUUCAUAGUCUACUGAAAACUCGUGUGAUAAUUGCCAGCCCAACUAUCAAAAUAACAUGCCUUGUACUUUGAGAAAGAAACCUCAAGAAUAAAUAGUUACAUUUUAAUUAUCAGAAUGCAGUGUCAUGAAAAAUCAAAGAGAAAUACCUUCCAAUCAAAGUUGAAGCCGUUGAUAAACUUCCCAUAGAGCUUCUUUGCUGUGAAUGUGAAUUGGUGUUUCUCUUCACUUUUAAACGUCUUUUAUAAUGCAAAUCGUGAAGAUAACAAAGAUGUUUACACACAAGUUGGCAUUUAUUUUUAAAUAAUCUGAUAUUCGAGAGAAUAUUCUCUCUUUCAUAGCCAUUUCCAACGCAAUUAAGCAUUUUUUUCUCACUAAAUUCCUGACUUUUGGAUAAUUGUUCUCUCUGUCCUCGUCAUAUCCAUCGCAAUUAGGCAUUUAAUUAUUCCUAACUAAUCUGAUUUUUCAGACUUCCACGUCAUUUCCAAAUCACGUAGGCACUUAUCUCUGACUAAUCUUAUUUUUCAGAUAAUUGUCAUCUAUCUCCACGUCAUUUCCAACGCAAGAUCUGAUUUUACAGAUAAUUAAUGUCUGUUUCCCAGUCAUUUCCAACGCAAUUGUGUCCAAAAUAAUUGAAUUAUUGCAAUACUUCGGGGUACUUUUUAAAAUAGCUUGGUCAAACAACAAAUUUUUCAUUUUGACCAUUUUUUUUUUUGUAUUCACCACAUUGGCCUAUUGUCAUUAAAAAGACAAUUCUACCCUUAUUCAUGUUUAAUAAUUACAAAAGUAUAUCAAUUGUUUAAAAGACAAUAAUACCCUUAAUAGUUUAAAUAAAUUCUAUUACUUCCAUACGUAAAUUUCAAAAUCAGUUUUGGUUAUCAGUUUCUCCAAUACAGUAAAAAAGAAUUUUUUCCUUCCAUCUGCUAAAAUAUUGAAAUCUCCCAAAAUUAUCAAAGGUUCAAAAAAGAAACAAUACUCACAGUCGGCACUGGAAAUUGGUAAGUGUAAAUACGUAUUUUGAAUUUUGUUUUAGUUAAAUUUACUGUUUGAAUCUGUAAAUAAUUAUUUUGAGAAAGGCAGAUGAAUUUUACAGUAUUUAAAUACAGAUUUAUAAUUUUUUUAUAGCAAAAACAACAAAAAAAUUCAUCUCUGUAUGCAUAUAUUUUACAGGAAAAAUUUAUAGGUGUCUGUAAAAUAAAUAUUUAAGCAUUAUUUCGUUGAAAAAGGGAAAAAAUAAAAAAUUCGAGCGUAAAUUUCAAAUGAAACGGACGAAAAAAGUUGGGCCAAAUGUUUCCAGCCGGCCCAGUUCUCUGGGCCACUGGAAAACAGCCGGCCCAGCUUUCUUUUUUUUUUCCUUCAGAUUUUAGAAUUUAUUUGUUCAUUAAUAUAUGUUUAUUGAAAUAAAUAUUAAUGAAUAUUUAAAUACUAAUUGAAAUAAAUAUUUUUGAAACAAUUAAAAUAAUCAAUGAAUUAUUUAAAGUAUUAAAUAAAAUUAAAUAUGAAAUGAACAAUUUAAAAAAUUAUAUAUUAAUUCCUUAUUUUUAAUUUGUGACAGAUAUGGCAUCAGCAUGUGUCCCAAUUUGUUACUUUGGUGAAUUUCAAAUGAAUGAAAAUGCUCAGUGGGAAUGGAAAUGGACGAGUGAAGGAGAUGGGGUUAAAGCAAUUUUUAUAACAAGGAGUACAUCGUUCGCAGAAAUGUACAGUGAUAUACAAAACAUGCUUAACGUCGAUCCCUCUUAGUACGAUAUGGAAUUGAGAUUUUUGUUCAUAAGCAUUCAACCAUUUCAAUUCCACCUAUGAAAGUUACUUCUGAAGUGGAAAUGAAACAUCUAAUUAAAUUGAACCAAGGCCGGAAGUCGACUCCUAUUUGCGUAACUUUAUUGGGGAAAAAUGUCCACGAGGGGGAACACGAAGUUUCAAAUGAAGAGAAUCGUAAUGUAAAUGAUGUUUGGGAUACAAUUCAGAUUGUUCGUGAAGAUGAUGUGGUUAUUCCCGAGACCACUGCUACUCACCAUGGUCACACUGUUACGCACAGAAUUCCAUCGAUAGUUGAAGACAACGAGAAUGAAAAUGCAUUUACAAACGAGGAUUUGAUUGCUUUAUCUCGUAGGAGACAUGAGUCGGGUGGGAGCUCACAGGCCGGACCGAGGACACGGUCCUCUAAUUGUUCGCGUGUAGUUCCUGAUGAUGAAGAUGUAUAUGUCGAGCAACUAUUCGAAUCAAAGAAAGAAUUGCAAGAAGCUGUGCACCGGAUUGCUUUAAAACAUAACUUCGAGUUUAAAGUGAAGAAAUCAAACAAGUCGUUAAACACAAUUAUCUGCGUUGACGACAGUUGUCAUUGGCGUUUGCGAGCGACUAAGAUGGAUAAGAAUGAGUUCUUUGUAGUCCGUAAGUAUGCACGGGAACAUACUUGUGAAGUGGGUAUUCGACGAAAUGAUCAUAGGCAGGCCCGAUCAUGGUUCAUUGGUCGAGAAAUAAUGCACAAGUUCCAGGAUCCACGAACGAUCUACAGACCUUCGGACAUCAUUAAUGAUGUUCGACGAGAGUACGGGGUGGUCAUGAGCUAUCAGAAGGCUUGGAAGGCUAAAGAAUGUGCAUUGGAGGAUUUGAUGGGUUCGGCUGAGGAGAGUUAUGCGAAAUUAGCCAGGUAUUUCAUUGUUUAAGUCUUUAUUUCUUUAUUAUAGUAAAUUUUAAGAGUACGGGGUGGUCAUGAGCUAUCAGAAGGCUUGGAAGGCUAAAGAAUGUGCAUUGGAGGAUUUGAUGGGUUCGGCUGAGGAGAGUUAUGCUAAAUUAGCCAGGUAUUUCAUUGUUUAAGUGUUUAUUUCUUUGUUAUUGUAAAUUUUAAUUAUUUAAUUUCAAUUGUUUGUUUAUAUGUAAUUAAUUAUUUAAUUGAAUUGUUUAUUUUUCUGUUCAUUUAAUAUUUAAUAUAUUAUCUAAAUUAUGAUUAUUUUUAUUUACAUUGGCCAGGUAUUGCUAUAACAUGGGAAGAAUUAAUACUGGGUCAGCAUUUUUUAUUGAGAAGGAUGACGAAAAUCGUUUCAAAUAUUUCUUUAUGACCCUUGGACAAUGUGUUCGAGGAUUUCGAAAUGCAAUGCGACCCCUAAUCUUAGUCGACGGUACAACCCUUAAGGCGAGAUACGGGGACAAGUUGAUUAUUGCAACAUGCCAAGAUGCGAACAUCCAAAUUUACCCUCUUGCGUUCGGCAUAGUCGACGGAGAAAAUGAUGUAGCAAUGAGUUGGUUUUUCACGAAGUUGAGGGAAGUAAUUGGAGAUGUCGAAAAUCUUGCAUUCGUAAUCGAUUGAGGGCAGUCAAUAAUAAAUGGUAUNNNNNNNNNNNNNNNNNNNNNNNNNNNNNNNNNNNNNNNNNNNNNNNNNNNNNNNNNNNNNNNNNNNNNNNNNNNNNNNNNNNNNNNNNNNNNNNNNNNNNNNNNNNNNNNNNNNNNNNNNNNNNNNNNNNNNNNNNNNNNNNNNNNNNNNNNNNNNNNNNNNNNNNNNNNNNNNNNNNNNNNNNNNNNNNNNNNNNNNNNNNNNNNNNNNNNNNNNNNNNNNNNNNNNNNNNNNNNNNNNNNNNNNNNNNNNNNNNNNNNNNNNNNNNNNNNNNNNNNNNNNNNNNNNNNNNNNNNNNNNNNNNNNNNNNNNNNNNNNNNNNNNNNNNNNNNNNNNNNNNNNNNNNNNNNNNNNNNNNNNNNNNNNNNNNNNNNNNNNNNNNNNNNNNNNNNNNNNNNNNNNNNNNNNNNNNNNNNNNNNNNNNNNNNNNNNNNNNNNNNNNNNNNNNNNNNNNNNNNNNNNNNNNNNNNNNNNNNNNNNNNNNNNNNNNNNNNNNNNNNNNNNNNNNNNNNNNNNNNNNNNNNNNNNNNNNNNNNNNNNNNNNNNNNNNNNNNNNNNNNNNNNNNNNNNNNNNNNNNNNNNNNNNNNNNNNNNNNNNNNNNNNNNNNNNNNNNNNNNNNNNNNNNNNNNNNNNNNNNNNNNNNNNNNNNNNNNNNNNNNNNNNNNNNNNNNNNNNNNNNNNNNNNNNNNNNNNNNNNNNNNNNNNNNNNNNNNNNNNNNNNNNNNNNNNNNNNNNNNNNNNNNNNNNNNNNNNNNNNNNNNNNNNNNNNNNNNNNNNNNNNNNNNNNNNNNNNNNNNNNNNNNNNNNNNNNNNNNNNNNNNNNNNNNNNNNNNNNNNNNNNNNNNNNNNNNNNNNNNNNNNNNNNNNNNNNNNNNNNNNNNNNNNNNNNNNNNNNNNNNNNNNNNNNNNNNNNNNNNNUACACAAUUAUCUGCGUUGACGACAGUUGUCAUUGGCGUUUGCGAGCGACUAAGAUGGACACGAAUGAGUUCUUUGUAGUUCGUAAGUAUGCACGGGAACAUACUUGCGAAGUGGGUAUUCGUCGAAAUGAUCAUAGGCAGGCCCGAUCAUGGUUUAUUGGUCGAGAAAUAAUGCACAAGUUCCAGGAUCCACGAACGAUCUACAGACCUUCGGACAUCAUUAAUGAUGUUCGACGUGAGUACGGGGUGGUCAUGAGCUAUCAGAAGGCUUGGAAGGCUAAAGAAUGUGCAUUGGAGGAUUUGAUGGGUUCGGCUGAGGAGAGUUAUGCUAAAUUAGCUAGAUAUUUCAUUGUUUAAGUGUUUAUUUCUUUGUUAUUUUUUAGCCAGGUAUUUCAUUGUUUAAGUGUUUAUUUCUUUGUUAUUGUAAAUUUUAAUUAUUUAAUUCCAAUUGUUUAUUUAUAUGUAAUUAAUUAUUUAAUUGAAUUGUUUAUUUUUCUGUUCAUUUAAUAUUUAAUAUAUUAUCUAAAUUAUGAUUAUUUUUAUUUACAUUGGCCAGGUAUUGCUAUAACAUGGGAAGAAUUAAUACUGGGUCGGCAUUUUUUAUUGAGAAGGAUGGCGAAAAUCGCUUCAAAUAUUUCUUUAUGGCCCUUGGACAAUGUGUUCGAGGAUUUCGAAAUACAAUGCGACCCCUAAUCUUAGUCGACGGUACAACCCUUAAGGCGAGAUACAGGGGUAAGUUGAUUAUUGCAACAUGCCAAGAUGCGAACAUCCAAAUUUACCCUCUUGCGUUCGGCAUAGUCGACGGAGAAAAUGAUGUAGCAAUGAGUUGGUUUUUCACGAAGUUGAGGGAAGUAAUUGGAGAUGUCGAAAAUCUUGCAUUCGUAAUCGAUUGAGGGCAGUCAAUAAUAAAUGGUAUCGCCGAAGUUUUCCCCGAGGCACAUCAUGGUUAUUGUAUGUACCAUAUACAGGGAAACUUGAAGACCAGGUAUCGAGACAAUGGCGUCGUUGCGUUGUUUAGGAGAGUUGCAGAGGCUUACAGUUUUGAAGAGUUUGAUAAGUUCAUGGUCGAAAUAGACAGUAAAUCGCAUGCUGCAUGGGAGUAUCUAACAGAGAUGGGGAUUGAACAUUGGGCACGAUCACAUUUUCCAGGACUUCGAUACAACAUGAUGACGUCGAACAAUGCGGAGUCGCUUAACGCUUUAUUCAAGAAAGAUCGAGAGUUACCAAUUCUUGCAAUGAUUGAGAACAUUCGUGACAAGUUACAACAGUGGUUUCAUGAUCGACGUGAGGAAUCACAGAGUUGUGCAAGUGUGCUAACCCCGGCUCAAGAAGAUAAGCUCUUCAAGACUCUAGAUGUGGCAAGAAAGGUAUAUGUAGAACCACUGGAUCAAUUUCGCUUCUCCGUGAGAUGUGCACGUAAUUUCGGAUACAUUGUGGACUUGAAUGAUAACACGUGCACGUGUAGACGGUUUUAGUUGGAGAGUUUUCCAUGUACACAUGCAGUGGCAGUGGCUAUGCAUAGAGGAUUACCACCACACACCUUAUGCAGUGUGUAUUACAUGACUGAUUAUUGGAGAGCAGCAUAUGCGGAAACAAUAUUUCCUGUACCAAAUGAAGUCGAGUGGGAAGUGCCCGACCACAUUCUCCCAUUAAAUAACUUGUUGCCACUAGCAGUUGGACCACGUACUCCUGGACGUACAUGUACGUCUAGAAUACCAUCUACCGGAAAGUUUUCCAAGCCUUGUAAGUGCGGUAGGUGCGGUGCAACAGGGCAUACUAGAAGAUAUUGUACAAGCCAGAUUCCUCUACAUGACAAUGUAACGGAUGUGUAAUUUUAAUAACUAUUGGCAAUGUAAUUAUUUAUAACAUUGACGUUAAUUAUUUAUGCAUAUUAUUUAUGCGAAUUAUUAGAUUUAGUAUUUUUUUCAAACAUUUCAUUCAUUACAUGCAUUUGUUAUGCAUAUUAUUUAUGUUAAUUAUUUGAAAUCGAAACUUUUUCUAGAAACUGCAUUAUACGGUAGGCUACUUUUUCUAGACACUGCAUUAUACGGUAGGCUAUAUUGUAAAAUAAAUAUUUAAAUAUUACAUACGCAAUCAACAUUUUACAAUUUUUUCGUAAUUACAAAUAAAUGAAUGAAUUGUACAAUGUUUAAAUAAAUGUAAAAAUAUGUACAAUUAUUUACGGAUCCCCAUUAAAUUCAAAUAAAUCACAUGCUAGUUUAUUUCUCCAAUUUUGUAUCCAUGCCUGGUUGAUUGCAUCAACCUUAUGUGCCACACUCAAAAAUUCUAUGUACUUGAUGACGAAUAUGCCGCAAUCACCUCUACAAUUAAACAAUGUUGUAUUAGCACAUCAAAAAUUAGUUAGAAACUAAGAUGUAAAUGACAGAAAGAAAAUUACAAACACUUACGAUAUUUGUUGCCUCGUCGUCGUCGUGUUCCGCACGGUGGCCAAUUUGUCUUGUACAGUAAUGUUCGCUCGUCUAGCCAUCAUGGGAACGAUCACAGACAGUGACUAUAGAUUUUGCUCGAGCUGGCCUUGUGUCAGGCAUGAAUGAUCGGGGUCGUACACAUACAUCGUGGAGUCGGCGAAUACGAUUUUCACUGCAAUGUAGUGAUGAUUCAGACAUACUGGUACGUACAUAUGCGUACAGCCAUCCCAUGGCUUCCCACCGACACUCGGCCACAUCCCUACAACCCAUUCCAUAAUAUAUUCCGGCACCGUGUACUCGCUACCCAUAGCCUGGAACGACUGGUACUCAAUGUCAACGGCACGGAUGAACUCGGUGUUCAAUAUGAGUCUGCCAGGAAUGUUGAACGAUUUUGGAUGUCUUUCAACACGAUCCCGUAGCAAAUCCAUGCUCAAGUCGAUGUGCUACAUCAAGAAACACCAAUAAAGAAAGGAGUUAAUCUAUGAAUUUCAUUCAAAAAAUUGAUUUUGAACGUACGUAAUAAAUAACAAUAUUUUCAUUUCACUUACAUCGUCGGCGAGCCAAGCCCCCGAAGUGGUGAUGUCGUGGAAUCACUUGUAAGCAUUUGAGAUCGUCUUCUCAGCAAUCGUGCGGUUGACCCUGAAAAAAUAAGAACAGAAUUUUUAGUUAUAUGAAGUAUACAUGUGUCAGCGUCUGCGUACUAUAGUAAUUACAUAAAAUACAAAACUGACCCAGGCUGCAGUGCUCUCCACUCUGUCUCAAAGGCUUUCCACUUGGCGUGGUCCACCUCCCUGAAUAAAUUCGGGUGCGUCCCGUCGACGAACCUUCUCCUCUUCGCUUCCGCGGUAAAGGGAGAAAGAACGUACUGUGAUGGCACCCUUGGCCUCUUGCCGACCACCCGCUCCUCAUGCGCCUCGGGAAUCUCCAUCUCCCCAGCCAUCGGGACGACCCCCUCGCCUGCUGUCGGGACCACCUCCUCCGACACAAAGACCACGACCGACGAGUCUGGCGUCUUCACCUCCGGUGCCCCCUCGACAUCCCCGGGUAUCCCGUGCACGGGUACCACCUCCAGCUCCAGUACCCUAUCCUUCUCCGGUACCCCCUCGGCAUCCCCGGGUAUCCCCUGCAUGGGUACCACCUCCACCUCCACCUCCCCCUCCCCCCCCACCUCCGAUCCCCCCUCGACGUCCUCGGGUAUCCCCUGCACGGGCACCCCCACCUCCGAUACCACCUCCACCUCCAUCUCCGAUACCCUCUCCUCCUCGGGCACCCCCUCCACGUCCUCAGGUAUAUCCUGCGCGGGCACCCCCUCCACCACAGGUAUCCUCUCUCGCUCCUCCAUCCCCAUCGUGUCAUCUAAAAAUGAAUCAAAUGCAGCAACUGAUGGCCACGAUGAGUCAACAUACCCCAUCUGACCCCCUCCCCCCUGAUAACCACCGACCCCUCCGUCACCCCCUCCGUCCCGAUAACCGCCAGUCCCUCCGUCUCGAUAGCAACCAGUCCCUCCGUCACCCCCUCCGUCCCGAUAGUGACCUGUCCCUCCGCUACCUCCUCCAUCUCGAUAAUCGCUCGUCCCACGCAGGCCUGCUAUGUCACCCCGUAUCGCUGCAACCUCAGCAUGGAGGUCUCCUAAUCCAGCUCGUAACAUCGCGACAUCAUAUCGUAACUGUGCCAUGUCCCCGAACUCAGCUCGUAGUGUCACGACAUUCUCCCGUAACUCUGCCAUGUCUCCUCUCAUCUCCAUCAGGAGGUCGAACAAAUCAAUCGUCGAAGCACGGGGACUAGGUGCAGGAGGCGAUACUGGACGACCCUCUUGAAAAAAUAACUAUUACAAAUGAAUAACCUAACAAAUAAAAUAAAACGACAAUCGAAGAAUUAUUUUUAAGUAACAUACUCUAUCUCGAUCAACGCUGGACUCAGGCAUCUGAACCUCUGGCGUAGCUGGACGUGAUCUUCUCAGCGGAGGUGACAUCCUCGCUGGACGUGCUCUCCUCGGUGGAGGUGAUAUCCUCAACGGAGGUAAUACUGAACGAUCCUCCUGAAAAAAUAAAUAUUACAAGUGAGGCACUUAGUUACAAGAUCGAAGCGAUAUUCAAUAAAUCCUGCACAGUGACAUACCCUAUCUCGAUCUAUCCCGGACUCAGGCAUCUGAUCGUCAUGUGUAGGACGAAGAGGCAAUUCGCGAAUAUAAAACUGACUCUCCUCCUCGAUCGACGGUGCCAACUCAGUGAGAACUUCAAGCUGUCAUUUUCAUAUGUCACAGUUAAUGACUAUGUAUUCAGAUUGUAAAAGGAUGUACAACAUAAAUAGCAAUUGUAUAAUACGUACCUCAGGAUCGUCGAGGAGAGCCGAUAACUGUCUGGCAAGCGGCUUAUCUUGUGCUCGCCAGUGAUGCAUCCGAGGAUAGCGUGUCUCUCCUCUCCUCGCAUACCGACUGGCCAAGAUAGGGACAGUCUCGUACACCCAUAUCUGAAACAAUUAAGAUUAUUAUGUAUAGAAUUCAAUAAAAAAAGUGUAGGUAAUUCAUUAACUUAAACAUAUACCUACAGCGCCAACGGCAGUCCAUAUGCAUCGUACUUGCGCUCGGGCUUAUCCCCCUUUGGCAUUGAAAACCCCCUCCUAAACACGCGUAAUGUAUCAAGAAAACAUCUCCAACCCCCUGGGUAGUUGUUGAAGGCAUCAAUAUCUUCAACAACCUCCAAAUGAAAAAUGUCAAUCGAUGUCUUCUUGUGAUGACACCGGAGUAUGCUCUCGAUGAUAAGCACCAAUCCUAACUUCAACCUAUCAGACAUCCGAUCACAUCUCCUUAAUGCAUCUCCUAGCUGCGCUAGAGUAACCGUCGUCUGUCCAUGAAAAUAUUCGUUCAACAGCCUCCUGUUCCUCGGAACACAGGCCCUCGCCUCUGCAUCAUCCGUACAUCGCAGUCCAGUGACGAGAACAAACUCAAAUAUAGAGAACGUGGCUACCUUGUCCCCAAGAUCAAAAUGGAGGGCGUCUCCGUCAACUGGAUUCAGCAAGCGACAUAAUAGGGCAUCCAGCAGCUGCCCAGACCACUGUACGUCACGCAACGAAUACAAUGGCCAUAAGCAUGAUCGACGUAAUAUAUCUACGUGAUCGUCGUCCAGCAAAUCCAAUACCAAAGCGAAGCUGGUAAAGUUACAAUUCGAGGUAACUUUACCAGGGAUCUGUCUGACAGCGUCGUCCAGAUGAUAUUCCAUCGUCGUCCAAAUGAUAUUCCAUCCUAGAAAAUUUUAAAUAUUAGGAUCCUAUGCAAAUAACGUUCGAUAAACAAAAAUAUUAAAAAAAUAUACUAACACACUGCUACUAGAUGCAAUAACCAACCGAUAACGGAAUAAACAAAAUGAACGUAAAUUACUAUUUUCCAUAUACUUAAUUUGCUAAUUUGAUCGUUUAUUUUAAUAUUUUAAUUGCUUAUUUUAAUUAUUUAUCUAACACUAAAUUAACUUUUUCAUUUUUAAUUAAUGUUUAGACACUUAUUUUAAUUCUUUACGCAUAUCGCUUAUUUCAUAUUUACAAAUUUAUUUCAUAUUUCUUUUAAUAAUUUUAAUAACACUUAUUUUGAUCGUUUAUUUUAAUAUUUUAAUUAUUUUUCUAACACUUAAUAUACCUUUUCAUUUUUUAUGAAUGUUUAAAUAUAUAUAUCUUAUUUAAUAUUUCAUUUUUUAAAAUUAAUUUAGUAACACUUGUUUUUAAAUGCUUAUUUUAAUAUUUUAAUUAUUUUUCUAACACUUAAUUUAGUUUUUCAUUUUUUAUGAAUGUUUAAAUGCUUAUUUUAAUUAUUUACGCAUAAUGCUUAUUUCAUAUUUACAAAUUUAUUUUAAUUGCUUUGCAAAAAAAUAAUUUGAUUGAUAUUUUAAUUUUCAAAAUUUAAUUGCGUAUUCCUUUUUUUUUUUACAAAUGUUUNNNNNNNNNNNNNNNNNNNNNNNNNNNNNNNNNNNNNNNNNNNNNNNNNNNNNNNNNNNNNNNNNNNNNNNNNNNNNNNNNNNNNNNNNNNNNNNNNNNNNNNNNNNNNNNUUUUUUUUCUAACAGUUAAUUUAGUUAUUUAUUUUUAAUGAAGUUUUAAAACUUAUUUUAAUUAUUUACAAAUGUUUAAUUAUGUAUUUAAAUUCUUUAUAUAUAUCUUAUUUAAUAUUUCUUUUUUUAAAAUUAAUUUAGUAACACUUGAUUUUAAAUGCUUAUUUUAAUAUUUUAAUUAUUUUUCUAACACUUAAUUUAGUUUUUUAAUUUUAAUGAAUGUUUAAAUACUAAUUUUAAUGUUUAAAUAUUAAUUUUAAUUCUUUACGCAUAAUGCUUAUUUCAUAUUUACAAAUUUAUUUUAAUUGCUUUUCAAAAAAUAAAUUUUUUUGCUAAUUUACUUUUCAAAUUUAAUUGCUUAUUUUUAUUAUUUUACAAAUGUUUAAAUAUUUUUUUCAAUUCUUUAGAUAUAUUAAUUAUUUAAUAUUAUAUUAUUUCUUUUCAUUUUUUUACUAUUACUUAAUAUAAAAUAAUUAAUUAAUCUAAAUUAGCAACUAAUAAAUAAUUCGAUAAAUAAUAUAACAUUUAAAUCUUAUAUUUACUAAUAAUUUUAAAUACAUAAUAAACAUUCAAAUUAAGCAAUUCAAAUAAAUAAUUACACAAUAUAAGCCAUUAACAAUUAUUUAAUUAACUUCAAUAAUUAUCGGAAAAAAAAAAAAGAAAAAAAAACAGACGGCCCAGUCAACUGGGUCAACUGGGCCGACCGGCCCAGCUUCCCAGUUGACUGGGCGCCCAGGUGCCCAGUUGGGCACAGGCGCCCAGUCAACUGGGUUGCCCAGUUGACUGGGAAGGGGCGCCCAGACGGCGUGCCCAGUCACCAUUUUCGUCCGUCUGCUGUCCGGUCGAGGAGAUCGCCGAAAAACUCCAUUUUCGGCGAUCUCCACUCUUUCCCAAGUAAUAACAACUCAAAAUUCCACAUUUACACAAGUAUUUCUCAACAAAUAUGUAUAAAAUCAUACUUUUUUCCAAAAAUAAAAAUAUAAACAUGGUUUUUUUUGGUAUACAUUUCUUACCUUCUUCAGAGGGAUUUUGGCCAAGUGGGUCUCCUGUUUUUCCUUAUUUGUCGGUGACUGGGUCGACUGUGCUACAGUAUUUUCCCGUCUCCUUCGGCUUCUGCUUCAUUUUCAAGUGAGGGUAAAAUUGGAAUUCUCUUCAUUUUUUUUGGUUUUCACGGUUUUUUAUAAUUUUGCCUUUUUUUUUUCAUUGGUCAAAGGCCAGUUCGGAAAAUUGGCCGGGUCAACCGGCCAACAGCCACUAAUUCCUCCAAUACUUCAAAGAAUGAUAGCACACUAAUUGACUUUAUUUUGUUUGGUCUAAAUAUUUAAAUAUUGUAGAAGAUUAAAAGACAUUAAAGGGAAAAGUACGUAAAUAUAAUAUUUUGAACGACAAUGCUACAUUUACCUACAUAUUUUUACCAAAUCUUUUAUCUACCCUCACAAUAGGAGGACGGGUCCCACAAGCCAAAAUUUUUAAUUGUACGCGGGUCCCGCGCGCAUUUGAGAAGAUUAAAAGACAUUAAAGGGAAAAAUACGUAAAUAUAAUACUUUAAGAAUACAUUUUCACAUUUAACAAAUUCAUUAAAUAGUUUUAUAAAUGAGGUGCUAAAUUAUAUUAUUAUAAAUAUUAUUCUAAUUGAAAUUUAGAUAAUCUAUAGUUUAAAUUAGAAUAAUUUGAUAAACAUUAUCAAAUCGUAAUAUGUUGCGUAUAUUCUCUAGUCCUAUUUGUGUAGGCUAACUUUCUUUAUUUUCUUGUCCUAAUUAUCUAGUCUUUUUUUUUAUUGAAAAUGUUUUUUCUUUUUCAAUAAUUUUAAAUAAGAUUAUUUAAUUCGUGUGAAAAAGAAAACCAAACUAUAUAAAUAGAAGGGAUGGAAGUAUAUCGUUAAUAUAUGACAGAUCCUCUCAAACCUCAUUCUCUCUCUCUUCGCAUAUUCUCCCUCUUACAACAAAUAACUUGUGACCCACCAAAAAAAUCUUUUACGCCUAGCACUUUUUUAUUCUCUAUGUUGCCUCAUGAUUUUUUGAAUAAAUGCUAUUUGUACAUAAUGGAGUUAAAUAAUGAUUUACAUAUAGAUAAUGUGUAAAUAAGAGAGUGGAGAAUUUUAUUUUUUUUCCGAUUAUGUUAUAUGUACAUAAUAAUUUACGUAAACAUGAUGUGGUGAGAUAAGAUUGGAUUAGAAUUUCUUCAACAACAAAAAAAAAAUAUUUUACUCUCUUUUUGACUCACAAAAAGAAUAAAUAAAUAAAUAAAAACUUUUUACUCUCUUUUUUAAUAAUAUUAAGAUAAUAUUUAACACCAGAUAUAUGAAAACAUAAGUUUAAGAUCUGAUUUUUGAAAGGUAUAGAUAAAAUGUAGGGAUUUGCUUAGUUUUCCAAAAAAUAUUCGUACAAGUUAAGUCAAGUUAUUAUAAUUCAAAAUAAUAUAUUUAAAGAAUAUUACUUAAUAAUUUAAGUUUUAAGAUAAUUAGCAUAAGAUAAUAAUUGUUAUAUUACAAACUAUUAGGUUUAUCUUCAAUAUGUGAUUAAUCAUAUCUUAAUUGUAUUAUGUUGGUUAACCCAUUCUGUUUUCUUGGCCUUCUACCCCAUUUUCUUUUCGUUCCUUCGAAGUAGUUCCAGUUUAUACUCUUUUUGCUCAAUGAGUAGGGCUGUCAAUGGGAUUUUGAUCCGAAUUUGAUAAAAUUAAUGGGAGAUGGAUUUAGGAUCUCGGUCUGAUAAUCCGAUUAAGAUCCGAAUCCGAUAAUCCGUGAACUAAAUGGAGCAAAUAUAGAUAUAGGUUGAUAUGAUCCAAUAACAAUCCGAUCCGAUUUAUUAUAAUAAUAUAAUAUAUUUCAUAUAUUAUAUCAUAAUCUAGUAAGCAUAAUUUUUUCCAUUUUGAAACUUAUAUUAUGAUUUACACAUAAUUUUCAAAUAAUAAUAAUAUUAGAUAAUAGUAUAAUAUUGUUAAUUGAAAUAUUCAGAAAGAUUUAAUUUUUUUAUUAAUUAAAAUAAGAUAAAAAUAACUAUAGUAAUUUAUUUUAUAACAUCAAAAACAAAUAAUUAUUAUGUCCAAAAAUAAUUUACAUUGUCUAAAUUGAUAUUAUUUGUGAUUAUAAUCUUGUUGAGGCUACGAUUUUUAAUGAAAAUAAUAAAAUAAACUAGUAACACUUAGAAUUGACAAUUGACUAAUAUCCCACAUUGAAAGAUUACUAAAAUAUUGGAAGAGGAGUAUCAUUUAAAAAGUUAGUAUCCCCCAUUGGAGGAUUACUAAAACAUCUCAAGAGGAGUCUCCUUUUAAAAGGAACUAAAUGAGCAUCAUUUGGAUAAAAAAUUGAUUUGGGUCUUCUAAUAUAAUAGGUGAGCCCAUCAAGAUAGUUAAAAUAUUUUUUGGGAGAAAAAUCAUACUACCCAAAAAAUUGGUGGAAAAAAUAAUUUUUUUCGAAUUUGGAUCGGAUUAUCGGAUCGGAUAUCCGAUAACAUAACAAAUUGGAUAUGGAUUUAACAAUUAAUUAUCCGUUGGAUUAUCAAAUCGGAUAGGAUAGGAUAAUUUUUUUCGAAUUUGGAUCGGAUUAUCGGAUCGGAUAUCCGAUAACAUAACAAAUUGGAUAUGGAUUUAACAAUUAAUUAUCCGUUGGAUUAUCAAAUCGGAUAGGAUAGGAUAAUUUUUCUUAACGUAUCGGAUUGAAUUUGGGCAGAUCCGAUCCAUUUACGGCUCCAUUAAUAACUCGUAUUUAAUACCUCUAAAAAUUAAGUCUAAUGGUGCCGUGCUUGGCGAAGCUAAAAGAUCCACGAGCCAUCAGCUUCUUUCUACGUCGACAAUGUAUGGAAAAUAAGCAUCGGCUAUUCGACUAUUCAUAGCACAAUUCAUACAGCAAUUCAUGACUCAUGGCAACUUAUCAAGAAAAUGAAUACAAAAUUGAUGUUUACAACCUGUUUUGGCAACAAAAUUGGGAUAUUACAGGAUCAAGUAAUUCAAAAAAUUUUACAUUAUCAACUUUCUUUCCAAUCCAAUCAGCAACAAUAUGCGUAAGUGCUACAGUAGGAGGAAAUCUAAUUGGAGAAGCAGCCUUGUGGGCAGCAUAGGCCAAUGCAAAAGUCCCAACCUUUCUCCAGUUCCAUUAGUAGAAGUCCCAAUCUGUAAUACACAAAAACCAUGCCCAUUCAGGUCCAUUGGACUGUAUUCUUUCAUUAAGUUAUGCUAGAAAAGCAACAAGUUGUGCAGUACCUUUUGAAGCAAAGUUAUCUUCACCAGCUGAAAUUAGAACACAACAUAGCCCAAAAGAUAUCAAGGAGAGAGUAGGGGUGAAUGCGGUUCGAUUUCGACGGUUUGUGUCAUAUUUUCAAUUCAAACCAUUCAUGCGGUUUGGAAACCAAACCAAACCAUUUUAUUUUUCGAACCAAACCAUAAUUUGUGGUUUGGUUCGAUUUUAAUCUACGGUUUACCUAUCGACAUUAUAGUAAUAUAUUCAAAACAAGUUAACCUAUAAGCUUAAACGAUAAUGUUAAGGCCUCGUUUGGUACUCAUUUUUUUCAAAAUACAUUUUUCUCUCUCUUCUUUUCAACUAUACAUUUUUUUAUUAAAAUAAUAUUACACAUAAAUAAAUAAAAAUUCCUUAUUUUUCAACUACACAUUUUUCAUCAAUUUACUAUUCCAAAAUGCAUCUUUACAUAAAAAUAGCUUCCAGACACCCUCUAAAUGUUAAAUUACAUUCAUAUUUACUAUAAAACAUAUGAAUAAACUAUUUUCAAAUUUGGUUGCUAAAAGAUAUUAAUAGAAGAAAUAUAUUUUUCUUCAUUUUUAUUUACCUUUUCUUGUUUAAUUUUCACAUUGUCACAUAGCGGGUGGUAAAAGUAAAGUCACAUUCUACUAUUAUAGUUUAGUUAAAACUUAUUUCGUCUUGCUAAUGAAAUUAAAUAAGGAUUGAACAUGAUAUGUGUAGAUAUACAAAGAUUGAUAAAGUUUAUGCUUAUUGCGGAUUGACGAAUUUCAUUCUCUAGCUACUUAAUGAAAGUAGAAAGUAGUACUAAUAGUUAGGAAAAUUUAACAUUUUCACAUAAUCAAUACACUAUGUCCUUCGUUCUUUCCAAACCACAAAAUAUUCAUCAAUCAUUUAAGCACACAAAUAUUCAUUUUUCUAUCCAAAUCACAACUCACAAGUGUGCAAUAAGUUUUAAAACAACAAAUAAAAGAAAGAAUAAUGGGAAAAUAGUUUGAAUAAGAAUCUAAGACUUAUCGAGAAAAAAGAGAAAAAGAGGCGAUUCAGAUAAAAAUUAGCAGACUAACAUGCAAAAGGCGACAAGUGAUUUGCUCAGCAGUGGUAGACAAGCGUCAGAUGUUUGGGAAAAGAGAAUUUAUGUUAGGAUUUCUGAAACUUUGAACGUGAUUUUUUUCCAUAAUUUUGUUGAGUUAUGAUUUGGAUUGUCGAAAGUAUAUAUAUUUUUUCAUUUCAUAUGAUUUGAGAAUAAUUUUAGUUUAGUUUAGAUAUCGCGUAAGAAUAUGUGUUGUGAACUUGUUAAUCCAUAGGCCAAUAAUGAUGAAUCUAAUUUACAUUUUAUGAUUAUUUGAAUGAGCUGGUUGUAAUUUAUAUUGCUAAAUUGAUUUUUUUUUUAAAGUGAAAACUGUAAAAUUUAUAAGUUAAUAAAAUUAAUCUUUUAAUUAAAAAAAUUUAAAAACGAUUCGAUUUGAUUUUAUGUGGUUUUGAAAAUCUAAACCUAAACCUAAACCAUACCAUUUUAAAAUGGUUUGACUCGAUUUGAGGGAAAAAACCACAGAUCCACGUGGACCCGAACCAACGGAUUAGAUUCGAUUUGCGAUUUUUUGUGCAGCCUUAGGAGAGAAAAAUGGAAGUGGCUAAAUAUGAUCCCCCAUAUUUUCCUAGAAGCUCCUUAGCUUGGUCUCCCUUUGACUUAUUUUCUUGCUUUUCUUUAUUACCUUUCUCUUUUGAGUAGGAGUGGGCGUGGUCCGAUUCGGUCUGAUUCCAAAGGGAAUCGAACUAAACCGAAUAUCAAUGAGAAUUUUAGAAAUGGAAUUGGUCCCAUUUGGUUCAGUCCGAUUCUUUACAUUGAAAAUGUCAAAAUAAAUUGUUCAUUAAUAAAAAAUCUAAAAAUGCUGCAAACGUGAUACUUAUAACAAAAUAUAGAAGAACUGAACAUAUUAUUUAAAGAUUAAAAAAAAACUUAGUAUGCAAAUUUAAAAACAAUAUCCAAAUAAUAUAAGUUACUAGUAUCAAGCAAUCAUCAGCUUAUAUAAACUGCAUAGUAUUUCAAUGAUUAAACAAACUUUCAUCAAAAUCAAAAUACAUUGAAUUGGACACCCUUUAAAAAUUUAUUGCAACUUCUGGUUCUUUUGAUUAUAAUUUGUAGAAAUCUAGAUGAAAAUUUUCAAUCGGAUCAACAACUAUGUAAUCAAAGUGAAAACAAAAUAAAAAUUUCACAUCUUAGAAAUGAAAUUAUAUAUUUUAAAUAAAUUUAUUUAGGUAUAGAUUUAUCCAAUAUUCUAAUUUGGUUUGAGAAUUAAUUAAUCAAAUAAUUAUAAGAAGAGAGAAUGAAAGAAUCAAAGAGAAGGAAAGUGCUCGAGUCUAAAAUGAAGAAGGAACCCGAUUAUUUUUAAUAAAAGUAAUUGGAGAUUGAAUCAUAUAUUUUAUAAAAAAAAUCAAAAAUCCUAUUAGAAUCGUUCGGUUCCCGAUGGUACCCAUACUAGAACUGGGAACCAGAUCGGAAUUAAUUGGUUCUUAAUAAUUGGUCCCAAAAUUAAAUCGAUGUUUACAAGAUUUGGAACCGAACCUGCCGGUUCUAAGCGGUUCCAAUCUGGUUCCACCGAUUCUAGGAAAAAAUCCCCAUUCUUACUUUUGAGGAGAAUAUCUGCAUAUAGCUUAGAAAAGGAAUUAUAUUAGGUGCAUAAAGAUUUCGGAAACACAACAACAACAACAAAACCUAUAUUAUACCGCCUCAUCUAAACACUUAAACCUUUAAACAACAAUUUUCAUAAAAUGGAUGGCAACUAGAGUAGGUGUCACGCACUGAGAGUGCUCAUCUUCACAUAUGGCACCACAAGAUCACUAGCAGCUAGACUUUUGGCCUAUAUUACCAAAAACUAUAAUAAUGAUGUCAUCUUAUACAGGCAUUGUCUAGCAUACUAUGCAAUGUGUGCUGGUUGUUUCGGUCUUUCUAGGCCAAGAAUGAGGAGAAAAUUCUCGAGGUCUCGGACCUAGUGGGCCAUACUUUUGGUCCGUGAUAUUGGGUCUCAAGUAUUUGUCUUUUUUAUACUAUUAUGUUGAAUUUCUCAUCUAAAAAUUCUAGAGAAAAAGACAUUUAUUUAUAUUUCCAACAACAAAUCUAAAAUAUAAUGAAUCAAGAAAUCUUUUUGACUUGGAUGAAUUCUGAUUAUUGAAACCCAUAAAAUGUAGUAUAAUUAAGAGAACAUUGUAAAGAAAAGGGAUGGUUCAAAAUAUUAUCUUCCAAAGACCAGCUUCAAGUCCAUACUUCUGUGCAAUUUCCUCUGCAGAAGACUUAUUCUUGAUUUGCUAUAUUUUUUUCCUUCAUAGCUCUGACCCUGAACCUGUUGAAACUAGACUUGGAAUUGGAAAUCGAGGCAUCAAACCUGCUUAAUUUUCCAUUAUCGAGCAAAAUUGAAGAAAAAAUAGGCUUAUUGUUCAAGUGUUGAGAAGGGAGUUGCAGAAGUGUGGCCAUUGCUUAAUAACCACAAAGAAAGACAGAGUAUAUUUGAUAUUUCGGAGGAGAUCUACUAUAAGAACAGGGUCAAUGAUAGGGUUUUAUACAGAUAUACACUUAAGGAUGGCAAGUUGGCACAUUGGUUUGGACCAUCAGUGGCUCGGCUAAAAAAAAGCUCAAGCCGGCUCGUUAAAAAAAAAAAAAAAAAAAAAAAAGAGGCAGUAAAGCUGCCUUUCAAAAAAAAGGGAAAAAAAAAAGCCAAAAAAACCAAAGAAAAAAAAUCAAGCUGGCUUGGCUCGGUAAGCUCGGGUCAAGCCUCAAUUUUUUUACUAAGCUUUUGCUGGGCUUGGUUUGGGCCAAAAAAAGCCCGUCUUGAUUUUACUCGAGGCAAGCCCAAACCUUGAGUUUCGACUUAGGAGCCGACUCGGUUCGUUGACAUCCCUAUAUGCACUUCACAAAAUUUCAUUGGCAGUUACAAAAAAAUAAAAGAAAAACUACCAAUCAAAAAUUACUAUUUCAACACAUGAAAAUAGCUGUCAAUCUACCAUUGAACCUGUGCAACUAGUUUAAUCCAUUUGGGGGCCGUGGAGGGGUUUGAGAAUAAAAUUCUAGAUGGAAAGAGUGACGAGUAACCCAAUUUCUGUUUUCUUUCCAAGGCACAAUUUACAUUUAUCUUAAAACCCUCAAACAUUUGUUAUUCUUAGAAAAUCACCCUAAACAUCUUUAUUGGGGAAUUUGGCACAAAUGUUCCCAACUUUAGCCUUUAGUGUGCAAAUGGUCCCUAACAAUAUUUCUUGGCUUGAACAUCUCUAUCUCCAACUUAUAUCUCGAUGUGAAAUUGAUCAUUUUUUCAAUAAGAAAAAGAUCAAUAUCUCCUUUAUUUUAAAUAGAAAAAAAUUGUAGCUAGGUCCCUAGCCAUUGGAAAAAAAUACAAAGCCCCAAAUCUUUUAUUUAAUAAUAUUGAUUUCAUACUAAAUAUAAUAAUAUUGAUUUCAUACUAAACAUAUCAUUAUAGUUUUCCCAAUUAAAUUUUCCGAAAAUAAAGAAAAUGGUUAAAUUAUAUGUUAUGAAAAUCUUGAAUAAAAACUAAGAUAAAUAAAAAACAAAAUGACUUAGAUAAUUUUAGGACAUUCAACCAAUAUCAUUGAUAAUUGUAUACGAACCAAUACUGGUGGAAUAACAUUCAACUUGUAAGUCAUGUAUGUAUGUGUGUGUGUGUGUGUGUCUAUAUAUAUUUAAAUUCGACACUUAUUUUGGCUCUUUACAAGGCUUUUAUUAAUGUUUUGAAUUCGAUUCUAUUGAUUUUUUUUCUAUAAAAUGAACCCCGAACUUUUAAUGACAUCGUUAGUGAAAUUGAUGAAAGAGAUCAGAAAAGCAAGUUCACAUGACAUUGCAACAAAAAGGGAAAAAGAAAAAGAAGUCAACUGGAAUUGAAUAUGCGAAAAUACUUGGAGAAAUUAGAGUACCAAGCUUGGUUAGGAGUCCAACGCAUUCAAAAUUAUGUACCAUGAAUUAUUUUCAUUUUCUUCUAGACUGCCACCCUAGGCACAAUCUUGCACUUGAACGAAUUCCCUAUUUUCAACCCUAAGAAUUCUAUCUAUGAUGGAAGUCUUAGGGUCUUCUAGGUCAUUUCACUACACCAAAAAAGGAUUUUUGCAGCGGCCAAAAAACACUACAAAAAGUCAUUUGCAGCGUUUUAGCGUAUGUUGCAGAGGGUGAUGUUGCCAUUGAGGAAGAGUUUUUGCAGCAUUUGCCAAACGCUGCAAAUGUGUAUCUAUUGUAGCGUUUGACAAAUAAUAAACUAACAAACAUGUUCUUUGAUCCAACAAGUUAAAAAAUAAACUAAUAAACAUGUACUCAUUAAAUUUGUAAAAUAUUCAACACAUUCUUUUUUCCAAAAUAAAAUUAAGAGUCUCCAAACAUGUACCACCAAAAUAUAAUUAGGAAACUACAAAAACCGAAACUUGAACUUGAAAUCUUCGGAUGUUCCUUGAUAAACACAAUUGCCAUUGGAAAAAUUUCAAUCCAACGAGCCUUGCAUCAAUUGAGACUUCAAAAAUGAAUGUUGGGGAAAGAUCGGCCUGUGAAAUCAAAGAGUCCCGUAGGUGUAUUUUUAGCCAACAACGACUGAAUAACAAAUAAACAUUCAAAUAGUAAAACUUCCCGUUUUCAUUUACAAGGGUUGGGUUAUAUAAAGAUGAUGCCAUCAAAUUUUGUACCAUGAAACCUUUUUAUGACAUACUUAAUUGUGACAAAUGCAAGACAAUCACAAAGGCAUUCCAAACUUAGCACAAAAUCAUAUUGCCCACACAUUAACAAAUUACCCACUACAAGAAUUCUAGCCUUAGCAUGAAAUCAUGUUUCGACCAUUCAAUAACAAAAAACUUACUGAAUGAAACCUAAGAAUUAAGUCAAGUAACCUAUUAAUCUAUAUUGCCAAAAUAUCACUAGCUAACCCACCAGUUUACAUGAAGCCAUUUCAUACGCCCCUCUUUUGGUGAGAUUUUUCUGCAUCUUUAGUGUGAAAUCGAAGACCAUUUAUGACAAAACUAGAAUAUGAUAUGGAUUGACAUCUAGGACCACAUGCAAGCCAAUCCAAUAUGGUAGAUUGAAAAAUAUUGACCUCUUCUUCCACGUUACAUUAGAUUGAGCUAUAUUCGUCUUCUCUUUCGUUUAUCACUUUUUUCCAAGUCAUUUGUAAUUUUAUCAACUUCAAUAAAAUCAUCUUCACAGUUUUUUAUCUUUGGCCUAAUACCAUGUUCAAUAUAUCUAUUAAAUCAGCUCUUUUUCAUGCGAAAUGGAUGAUCAAAAGCGAGAAAUUUUCUAUGUCCUAUGUAUACAAACUUCCUACCAUGCUUCAACCAUACUGGACAUGUAUUCUCACGAUAGAUAGGGCAUGCAAUUUUUUCUUUUGACGGGCCAUCUAGAUAUAUUUCCAAAUGCGGGAAAAUUAUGUAUAGUAUACAUCAAAAAGGCUUUUAAGUUGAAUGUGGACUUUGUAAUAGCAUCAUACAUAUCAACCCCAUCACUCUAUAACAACAUUAAGUCGUCUACAAGUGGUGACAAAUAAACAUCUAUGUCAUUACUUGGCUAUUUCGAUCCCAGGAUCAAUAAACUCAACAUCAAACUUUCCUUUUACAUGUAAAUUGAGGGAGCAAGUUAUAUAUAGUUAAGAUUACUGACCAAUAACUGUAUUUAGAGUUAAGAUCUUUGAAAUGAUUAAAUCUAUCAGUAGCAAGACCUAAUCUAAUAUUUCAAGGAUUAGAUGCAAAAUGGGGGCACCUUCGAUUAAUCAUUUCCCAACUCAAUGAAUCAACCGGAUAUCUAAUCUUACCGUCUGAACUUUUAUUAUUUGAGUGCCAUUUAAAUUGUGUUGACAUCUCAUUUAUUCCAAACAUCCUCUUAAAUCUUGGUAUUAUAGGAAAAUAAUGCAAGACUUUUGCUGGGAUAUUUUUCUCAUUUUUUUGUCUGUUGGUUAUUUUUCCAUCUCGAGCAACCACAUUUUGACAUAAUUCAGUAUGCUCAAGCUCCUUUCUAUAUAGACAACAAUCAUUUAGGCAAGCAUCUAUCUUUUCGUAGCCAAGAUCAAAUGUAUUGACAAGUUUUUCAUCUCGUAAAAUGAGCUUGAAAGUGUAUUAUUCUCUGGCAACAUGUCUCAAACAAGAUUUAUAAGUUUAUCAAAACCAUUAUUUGAUAAACCAUGUGAAGCUUUAUGCUUAAACAUUGCAAUUGAAUCUGACAUCUUUGUAAAUGCCCUGCAACCAGGAUAUAAAGGAGUUUCAGCAUCAUCAACUAAACUUUCAAUCUCUUCGUCUCUUCCAUCAGGACGAUUUUCAGAAUUUACAUCAUGCUGUGUAUAGAAAUCCUUAAACAUACUACUCGACUUAGGCAUUUCUACAACAUUCUGAUUUGAUGCAUCUGGUUGCUCUCCAUGAAAUAUCCAAGUAGUAUAUGUAAGAUCCAUACCUUUAAUAACCAAAUGUUCAUAGACUAUAUCAUAAUGAUGAUGCAAUAGAUUUCUACUCUUAACACAAAGACGUACUUUCAUUUCUGAAUUGCAAUUUCUCAUUCAACAAAAUUCUGUGCUCCAUCGCUAUAUUGUCUUGAAAAUCUACGAGUAAAUUUUUAUGAUCAUUAUACAUUGAAAUUAUUUUCACUUGGAAACUAGAUUCAUAAGAUCUAAUUUCAGAUGAUAAAUUUGAUAAGUGCAACCACUCUUUGUCCAUUAUAGGCAAAGCUACUAAAAUGGGGAACUAUGCAUUGGCUCUAUCUCCUUUCAAACCAUUCAUCAAGUCUACGAAUAUAAGUGGUAUUGUCCAUACUGUACAUAUUACUAGGUCUAUGAUGCAUGUACCAAAUAAAAGAUGUCUGCAUAAAUGCAGGGUUAUAUCCCUUAUUCCUGAAGCAAAAUAGUACCAGAUUUCUCAAUGCUAUGGAAGUCAUAGCUUCCUUUAGAAAAACUGUACAAAAGGCCAAGUGAAAGGCCUACAUCUAAUGUUGACAUCUUUCGCAGAUUAUUCUCCACUCAAAGUGAAUAGGUAGAUCAAUCAAAACCAUAACUAGAAGUGCAUUACAAUUACACAUUCAUAUGUGUACAAUGAAAUUUGCAGUGCCUCACAAAUUCAAACACCAAUCAGCAUGGACACACAAAAUUGAUCCGUAUAAAUGGAAAACCUAAAUUACAUCAUUGAGCAGACUAUCUACUAAUAAUAUACACUAACAUUCAUUUGAAGGAAACCUGCCUUUAAACAGCAGAUAAAGGUAAACAUCAACCAAAAAAAUCAUUGUAAUAUACAUACAAAAAACAGGACAAGGCAUAUUUUUUAAUCAAUAUAAUCAGUCAAUUCUACCCAAAAAAAUCAUUGUAAUGUACACACAAAUUUACCUAGAAACGCUGAAAAUAUCCACAAGAUAAAUGUAAAGUAAAUUUUGAGAUUCGAAGUGUUUACUUCGUCAAUGGUUUGGGUUUUGCGACUGCGAUGGAGAAACAGGUUUGACUUGAUAAGCGUCCAAGAUGAAUGUUGAGCAACUGCAAAACAAAUCUUUAUGCUGUAAUUUCGAAAUAGUUCAUCAAGAAUUUGUGGUAAAUCAAAAAAUGGAAAGAUAAAAAUCAACAAUUAAUUAGAAAUACCGAUGGCGGCGACCUUUGGGCUUUCACCGUGGACUACUGGAAAGGUGGCGCCAGCAAGUGCAUGAGAGAUUGAGAGCAAGAGACAUGCACUAAAUAUUUCUAAUUAUUUGUUGAGAGCGAGGCUGCGAGAGAAGACUAAGAGAUUGAGAGCACCGUGGACUACCGGAGAGGUGACGCCAACGAUGGCGAUGGCGAGUGACGAGUGAAACUGAGAGAUUGAGAGCGAGGCUAUGAAAGAAGAUUAGAAAUUUAGGGUUAACUUGUCUUCUAUUUUGUUUGAGGCGGGGGUGAGUUUGAUUAAAAAUUUCCCUUUCCGCAACGUUCAUUGAACGUUGCAACAUUUAGUUAAUGUUGCGAAAAGUGUCCUUUUGCAACGUUUAUGAAGUGUUGCAAAAAGUGAAAUUCACUGACUUUUAGCAAUGUUUACUGAACGUUGUGAAAAAAUCAAACCUUUCGCAAUGUUCAAUAAACAUUGCAAAGGGCGAUUUUUUUAGCGUUGCAAAAGGCAAGUUUCAAAAACGUUUAUUAAACAUUGCAAUAAAUUUAACUUUUAGGAAUGUUUAAUAAAUGCUGUAAAAGUCAAACAUUUCGCAACAUUUGAUAAAUGUUGCGAAAGGCUACAUUAGCAACAUUUAUUUACAAAAUGUUGCCAAAGCUGAAUUUUGUUAACUAAUGACAACAUUCACUUAUUCAAAUAUUGUUGUAGACCCCUUUAUCAACAUUUAACUACCGAAUGUUGUCUUUUAUGUGUUGCAAAUUAUCAUUUUUGGUGUAGUGUUUGAUACAUGGUUUUGCACCUUAAUUUUCGGUUUGAAUAUAGUAGAAUCCUUCUACUUCAUAAGGGAGCUUGGAGGAGACACAAAUUUAGACCUAGGGUUCGGUGAAUUGAAGAACAAGAAUUGGGGAUCUCGAAGUUCACGCUUAAAGAUUCUACAACCUUCUCUUUUCUCUAUUUUGGUUAUGUCGAGCUACACUCUUAUUUGUUUGAUUACUUUGAAUAUAUAGCUAAAUUUUCAUUAGCUAGGACGGUGAUGUAAAUCACUCUUUUGAAAACUUAGUUUAAUUUUUAGUUUUGAACUUCAAAUGUGAAUAGUGAUUGAUCACUUGUUAUUGAUUUUAAUACAUUCAAUUAUUUAGCCACUAGUUAAACGAUUUAUGGACUUAUUGAUAUCGAGGGGUGAUAUUCAUGUUUAAAUCAAAUAAUUAACAAGUACAUAAGUAGUAAAAAAUAAAAAGUAACAUAAAUCUCGAGAGCAGAAAUAGAUUUUAACUUUAUUUGAGAGAAACUUUUAAAUAAUGUCUUCAAAAUAAACAAGUAUUAUCGAUUAGGUGAUUGUUUGAAUUAAAGUAGAUAAGUAUAUAGGUAAAAUCAAAGUUAUAUUUGAAACUUCUUCAAAGUUCAAAAUUAUUUUUAGCUUAACUUUAAGUAAUUUUUUAGUUAAAAUCAAAAUCCAAUUAAAACUUGGUAUAAAGACUAUUUGGUUUGAUUCAUAACUAAUAAGUUCUAGUGGAAUCAACACUCUAUUUGCUCUUAACUACUUGUCUACAAUCCCGUGCACUUAAGAUUUUUAAGCGACAAAUGACAAAUGUGUCACACAUUACUAAACUAAAAGACAAGUUGAAAAUCGAGAAUUUUAAAUUGCUAAGAAUUUUUCUAGGACAAUAUAACAAAAGACCAUUGCAAGAUGUUCUUUUUAGUGAAUGAGCACUUCUUGUGAAAAUUAGUGAAACGAGUACUUUUAAAUGAAAUUACUGAAAACACCCAUAAUGUUAUAAUUUUUCAUAAAAUUCAACCAUUACUUGAUAGGUGCACACUUUAGUCAAAUCUUGAAAGUCACCAAAAAAAAAAAAAAAAAAAUAUCAUUCUAGGAGAUCUUUUGGUGGCAAGCUGAUAGUUCGACAAAUUAAGAUGGUUAAAACUAUUUUCAUUUUUUGAGAUGGUUAGAGUUGUGUCCUUAGAUGGUUAGAAUUAGGCCUGGGCAAUUUAACUGGAAUUGAAUCUUGCGAAUCGAAAUCAGAGGUGCCAAUCUGAUUCUCAAAAAAAAAAAAAAUUAGGGACCAAAAUCGAGAAUCGGUAACUGACCGGAUUCUAAUUUGUAUUUAUAAUUUAUAGAUUGCAUAAUAAAAUACAAAAUAUAAAAACCCUAAUUUGGAUAGUAAUUUGUUUAAAAAUGUAGACUUUAACUCGAAGAAAUAUAGUCUGACUCCUACUUUUUUCCUUAUUGCCUCACAUUAGAUUGUUGUAUUAUAGAGGUUAGUACAUAUUAAUCUUUACAAUUUGAACUUUUUAUGAAUCAAAAAGUUCAAGUUAAGUUGUGGUGUAAGUUGAUGAAUCAAAGUGUUCCUUAUUUAGAUUUACUUGUAAAAUUAUUUUGUGGGGGAAUGGGUGAUUGAAAAUGAGUAUUGGAAAAAUGAGUUUUUGAAAAAAUAGAGUCCAAAUUGGUUUAUCUUGAGUUCGUGGUUCUCUUUUGAAAUAUAUAUAUUUUUUCUUUUCUAUUCAAAUGUAGUGAGUUCAAUAUGUCAAUUGUGAUUUCUUAAUAUUAUAUAGUUAUGUAUUUAAUUAGUAUUUUUUUUGUUAGUUCAUUUUAAAAGUAGAAGAAUUCAUAAUUAAAUUAUAGGGUUUAGCAUGCCCCACUUUGGAUCGAAUAAGAUUUAUUAAUAAAAAAACAAUUUUUUCUCAAAUUGUAAUUAAAUUUUUGAUGUUUUAAUUUUCUUCUCUUUUCAUAGUUUUUAGUCUUCACUAUUUUGCUUCUUGAAGAUUUAUUAGCUGAAUUUUCUCAAUUGCACAAAUAUUGUGAGUAGUAGCGUGUUAUGUAUAUAAUAAGUACUAAAAGAGUCUAUAUGAAAAUAUCUAUUAAAUGUAUUUAAAAAAUGUUAUGGGCAGAAUCGAAUCCAAAUCAAAACCGCCAGUUCAGGUUUGGGUUUGGUUCUAUCAUUAUAAUGACCCGAAUUAUUCUAUUUACGAAAUACUUGAAUUAUAAUAUGUGGUUCCGAGUUAAAAUAUUCAGAUCGAUCCACCCGACGCCCAAGCCUAGUUAGAAUUGUCUUGCGUCCCAAUAAUUGUCUCGAAAAAUGAAUAUUCUCUUGAAAAAUUUCAAGAUUGGCUCAAGCAACUAAAAUCUUUAUCUGAAACUAAAUAGCAUAAAUCAGCUUUAGAAUUUUGAUUAUUUGCUAUAGCUAAGUCUGGGAUAUAAUAAGUGAGUUAGGUUAGAGUGGGACAUAUUUCUAGGGUGUUUGGAGUUAUUUGGACUAAUUAACAUACUUACAUAAUAGCAAAGUUCAAACAUCUUAGCCCCCGGAGCACAGCUCAACUAGUGGAUCAAUCAACAUUGUCUUGCUUCCAGCGACAGUGUGGAGAGUUCGAUUCCUGGUGGGAACCUGCGGCCAAAUAUUUGGUAUGGAGCAAUCAUUGUGGAGGAGGGUCUCUUGUGCGCCAAAGUGUACAGGCAAUGGGAAGAACCUGUGAUCCAGUUGAGGCAUAACCCGCGAUUUACUCCCUCCGAGGUUUUAGGGGCAAGGGUCUUGGGGGUCCAGAAUUUAGUUUGGUGUAAGUUGGAAUACCUAGAUAUCAAAAAAAAAAAAAAGUUCAAACAUCUUACAUUGUGUGGACCAAUUAUGGUACCAGUCCAAGUACGCAUGUAAAUGUCAUCAGCAUCAUCCAUUCCAUAGCAAACAAAACCAUCCCCAAUACCCUUUGCCCCAUGUUGAAGUUCCUCCAGCAACUUGAAGUUUUGAGGAACUAUCAACAAAUCAGCGGUGGUGCCAGAGAUUCUUUAUUUUCAGAUCAAAGAUUAAGGUUAUGGAAUACUCAAAUACAUCUAAACUCGCCAUAUCUCUGGAGUAUAUAGAAGGCCGAAAGUACUAUGAUAUAGUAUUGGUAAAAUUCGGUUCUAUAAUCUAAUUCAAGGCAAAUCAAUGGCGAACAAAUAAAAAAUGUCAUCUCAAAUCAACAUUAUAUGAUGUAUGAAAUUGCCUUUGUUGCAGCCAAAUCAACUCCUUACACUAACAAAUUCAACAAAUAUAAACAACCAAUUCAUAUCUGAGAUUACCAAGUGCACAAAAUAUUUCAAAUGAUUGAAUAAAGCCCAGUUCAAAUGUACCCAAAAAAUGCAGGGACACACUGCAGAAAGCACACGAUUAAAGAAGAGGGAUAAUAAAAAAUUUCAUAAAAGGUAAGUCAUUUUAGCUAUACCUAUAAUGAGUUGAUAGUGAAAUCAAAGAAGAAAAUUACAUUUUAUUCUAAUGUCUGUUAGGUAUUCAAGAAAAUUUCAAAUAUAAUAAUAUCUAAAUGCAACAUAGCCAAGGUGAGAGAAGUGUUUAUGAGGCUAUUUAUGUCUCAAAGAACGCAAAUCACCUCCAAAACAGUACUCAAAAACAACACAAGAAGUGAGAGGCUUCAAAUUCUGCAUAAAAUGUAGGCAAAUAGAGUUUUACUACAUGUACAACUAAUUUGAUGAGCCAUAAUAUGGUAGGUGCAGUUUGGUCAUUGAUUUGAAUAUUUAUUCAAAUUAAAGGCCAAGAUGUUUAUACCUCGUGAAGUAUCAAAAUUUUGUACAAAACCAUUGUACAAGUAGUUCAACUCUUGGAAAAAAUGGAUAAUAUGAAAGUCUCAAGAUUUUUCUAUCAAUUUCAAAGGGCUGCAAAUAUAUCUCCCAAAAUGAAGAUUCCAAAGGGUCAAGAAAUCUCACCUUCUCCUUGACCCAAAGGGUUAAAAACUAAAGCUACAAGGUCAAAUUACUGUUGGGUCAGCUGACCCCACAUGUAGGUUCGCCAGUGCAACAAACAUUUUUUUUUUUCUUUUUAAUAUAUGUCUCCUAUACAUAAUGCAUUUUACUUCCUAGGAUCUAUCUUCUUGGAUAACAUAGAAAAGGUCAAGCUGUCUUUUACAACAGCUCCAGUCAAAUGUUAUGUAUGUCCUUUUUGUAUGGCAUCACGACUUAUUGUGCUGAAAAAGGGGGAAAAAAGGGUGAAUUAAUAUUCUUCAGAAACCAUGUAAUUAAAUCCAUGAAGAACAUGAACUAGGCAGCAACUCCAAGUUCUUGAGUGCAAAGAAGAAAGUGAGUUAUAAGUAACGAAGUUUUUUUUAUCCAAAAUACAGCAGUGCCUUAUACAUUCAAAAAAUUGAACUAAAUAUCAGCAAAUAUCAUUUUGAGUUCACUAUGAUUCCGUGAAAUGAAAAUAAGUGAGCUUUAGAAGAAAAACCACACUCCCUUAGCCCAUGUCAUCUAGAUCGAGAUAUAAACUUUGUGACCAGAAAAAGAACUUCUCCAAUGUACCUAAUAUGAUCGAAUAUGCAAAUUGCUUUAUUAUAUUCCAAUGUAUCUGCCGUUUGCCAUAUCUUAAUUUGGUUGUUUCUCACUUUUACAAUUGAUUUGUCACUCAUCACCACGUGAUUGCGUUUUGAAUUGUCUAGAUAAUAAUGAUAUUACUUGUAUAGAAAUUUGCGAGCUUACUUUUUUCUGAAUAUUGGAGAGAAUUCAGACCAAGAUGGCAAUGAAAAGCUGAAAGUCACAAAGAGGUUGAUACACCAUAUUCGCCAAUUAAUGAUCAGUGAUUUUAAAGGAACUAGAUCUCUACUUGUCUUUUAUUUCCAUUCAACAGCUUUUAAGUCGCCGAUCAAGGUGUAUUAAUGAAAACACACAAACAACUACCAUUCAUUCAGUAAAGGACAAUAUGUAAAAUAUCAAAAAAUACAGUUGACUUUCUUCCAUUGCCUUGUAAUAAAAUAAUAUUUAUUUAAAGUCAAGAGAAAUUAAACAUUAGAACUUAACAGGGGAAAAAAAAAAAAAAAAAUGCAAAACAUAUCCAGGAAAUCUUUGCUUGGAGAUUAUUCAAACAUGGAAAACUUGGAAUUCGCAAUUGUGAUGCCCCCAUCAACAAAAAGGUUGUGUCCAUGAACACACUUCGACUCAUCGCUUGCCAAGAACAGAACAGCUUCAGCCACAUCCUCUGGUUUAAGGUAAACACCUUUGAGAAUAGAAUAUACAGUACCGAAUUCCUCAUCAUCCAUUUUAUAGAAAUCCUUUGAUUGCCGUGUAGGAACUACGUGUGGCGACACGCAGUUUACUCGAAUGCCAUAUUUUCCAAGCUCCACAGCCAUAUUCUUCGUGAGUCCCACCACCCCGUGUUUCGAACUUACAUAAUUGUGCGAAGAACCACCGCCUAUUUUCGAACAAGUGCUCGCUGUCGUGAUUAUGUUCCCACUGCGAUUCGGGAUCAUUACCCGAGCAGCGUGUUUAGCACCCAAGAAUGCACCUACGAGGUUUACAUUAAUAAUCUUUUCGAACUCAGAUUUUUCGAUGUCAAGAAUGCUGGGAUUUGGUACUCCACCUAUACCAGCAUUAUUGUGCAGAAUAUCUAAUUUCCCAAAUUUGUCAACAGCUGUGUUAACUGCCGUUUCUAUAUCGGAUUCUUUAGUUACGUCACAGUGGACAUAAGAGGCUGAUGAUUUACCCAAUUCCUUGCAUACCUUCUCUCCCAAAUCGUCGUUGACGUCUGCAACCAGAACUUUAGCUCCAUGUUUGGCGAACAAUCUGGCAGUUGAUUCGCCGAUUCCAGUAGCAGCACCGGUGAUUAGAGCGACCUUGCCUUCCAGUCUAGUUUCAAACAUUUCGUUAGUACAAUAUUCAUAACAUAUCAAAGUAAAAUGCCUCAAGAAUCAAAAAAUAGUUCACAAUUUUUUACCAGAAAGCAUUAUGAACAAUGAAAGAGUUAUACCUUCUAAUGAAAGAAGCCAUUUACGAACUUAACGCAAUGAACUUUAACGCGGUGAACUUCUUUGCGGUGAAUGAAUUGAUAAUUUUUCUGCACUUUUUAACGUCUUUUAUAGUGCAAAUUCUGAAGACAGGACAUCUACGCGCAACUAGGCAUUAAUUUCUAACUAAUAUGAAAAAUCUCUCUCCUCGUCAUUUCCAACGCAAGUGGGCAUUUAUAUUUUUUGACUAAUUUGAUUUUGCAGAUAAUUAUUACCUCUUUCCUCGUCAUCUCCAACGCAAGUAGUCAUUUUCUUACUAACUAAUACGAUUUUUAAGAUAUUUGUUCUCUCUUUCCUCGUCAGAUCCAACGCAUUCUGACUAAUGUUCUCUCUUUCCUCGUCAUUUCCGACGCAUUUCUGACUAACCUCAUUUUUCAGAUAAUUUUUACGUGCCUAAUUUUUUUCAUGUUAUUUGUGACUAUUUAGAAAAUAAAAUUGGUCAACUUAUUAGUCUUGUGAGUCGCAUUAUAGUCGUAGCAUGAUAGCUCGGUCCAUUUAUUUUAUUUAAGUAUUGUUGGAGAAGAAAUAAUAUAUCAAUAUUGGACUCAUUCUGUAGCUCACAUUGAAUAAUGUAUGUUGUGCUCAAGAAAAAGUAAAUUCAUAUAAAUUAAGCCCAAGUCACAAUCAUUCAAAGAAAUACGUUUAAUGAAAAUUACUUAAUAACUUAAGUUUUAAGAUAAUUAGCAUAAGAUAAUACUUAUUUUAUUCUGUUUUUCAGAAUGUGCAUAAACGCUUUCUUUUCUGUUUCCUUUAAGGAAGAAAAUUCAAAUUCUUAAAUUCAAAUCAUUUAUUGUUUGGUCGUCUCUUUCAUUCUUCUAUUGUUAGAUAAAAGAGAACGUACACUCCAACCACUCACCUACAAAGCUUUGUUCACAAUCUAAUUUUUUUUUUUUUUUUUUUUUUUUUUCUUUUUGCCUUUUUUUUUUUUUUUGUUUUUCAUUAUGCCAUUUUUGUUAUUGUUGACCUCGGAUUUAAAUUGAUUUCUAUUCCGUAUAUUUCUUUCAACAUUUGAAUUUUUUUUUAGCCAUAUUCUCAUAUCCUCGAUUUCGAAGAAAAGGAUUAUAUUCCUUAAGAUGGACUCGUAUCCGAAUUUAAGUAUCAUAUCAAAGAGAUCCACGCUAAAGAACCUGAAAUAAAAAGGUUAAGGUAAUUUAUCGUUGUCCAAAAAAUAUGUACUUAUUCAUUUUAUUAUCGAGUUAUGCACCUUUGGGUUACAUCUAUAAGCAAGGGAGAAUGUACCAAGUUUCAAUGUCUACUGUAAUUAAUAAACUAAUACAUUUUAGUACAAUGGCUAAUCACAUUAACAUCAUCAUUUUUACUAACAAUUUAAUGUAAUUUAAGAAUUAACAUAAACGUCAAAAUCACUACAAUCUAAUGCGAUACAGCUAGUAUAUAUGAGUACAAUUUAAUAAUUUAAUAAUAAUUUUAAAAUUAUUAUCCACGCAUCCCAGUUGUGUUUUUAAAAUUAUUAUUAAAUUAUUAAAUUGUACUGUUAAAUACUAGCUGAACAUCAUUAGACUGAGUGAUUUUGGCAUUUAGGAUAAUUCUUAAAUUGCAUUAACAAUGUUAGUAACAAUGAUGAUGUUUCUUUAACAAUGUUAGUAACAAUGUGAUUAACCAUUGUACUAAAAUGUAUUAGUUUUUAAUUACAAAAGACAAUGAAUCUUGGUGCCUUCGCCCUUAUAGAUGUAUACCAAAGGUGCGUGACUCGAUAAAUAAGAUGAAUAAGUACACAUUUCAAUUGGGCAAUAAUAAAUUACCUUAGCCUCCCUUCUUCUUCUUCUUUUUAUUUUACUAUUAUUAAUUUUUUCAGAUUCUUUAGUGUGAAUCGCUUAAAUUUGGAUACGAGUACAUAUUUAGAAAUAUGAUCCUUUUCAUCUAUAGUAGAGGAUACGAGAAAACGACUAAUUUUGGACGAUGUGUACGUCUUUCAAACUUAAUUUUUUUUCUUUCGAAAUUUAUAUAUUAAAAAUUAGCCUCAACUUGGCCAAAUUUAUAAAUUAUUUAUAAAUGAUCAAACUUCAUUUUCAAUCAACAUUUCAACGGAUCCACAAGAAGUAUUCACUUAUCCACCAACCAUUUUUAUUUAUUUAUAAAUUGUUGGAAUUUUAAAAUUCGAUUUUUCUUCCAUUUUGUUCCAUAUCCAUCAUUUAAGGAAACAAAAAUUAACACACUGGAAAGCAUAAUUUGUUACCCACAUCUAUGAUCUAUCUUAUCUUGAUUUAAAACAAACAAUGGAGUACAAUUAAGAUAGAAGAUAAACCUUAAUCUUUUGUAAUAUAAUAAUUAUAUCUUAUGCUAAUUAUCUUUAAAAAAUUAUAAAAUAAUAUUCGUUAAAUACGUUUCUUUGAAUGAUAGUAAAUUAGGCUUAACCUAUGCGAAUUUACUUUGCACACCCUACCUUUUUUAAUGUCAACUACCAAACAAGUCAAAUAUUAUUAUAUUUUUUCUUCUCCUAAAAUACUUAACUAAGCAGAAUAAAGCAAGGACGAAGCUGCAAUGCCGGGGUGGGGGUUGAACCCCCACAGGCUCCUCACAAUACAAGGGGUUGGCGUUUUUGGGAUAUUUUUUAAUGAGACAUGUGAGAGGCCUCGUGAAAUGGGGCCUAUACAUUCAAUUUUAUUCAUAAAGCAAAAGGAUGGAUUGAGUUGUCAUGGUACCUUAAUGUAAUUGACGAAGCUAAUAAGUGAAUUGAUUCUAUUUUCUAAAACAUACAAAAUUAAGCACGUGAAAAUUAUUUGAAGCAUUACGAUAAUUAAUUAUUGUGGACACAGGUAGGUGGAAAUAGACAACAAUUAUCUAAAAAAAUCAGAUUAUGAAGAAAUACCUAAUUCCAUUGCAAAUGACGUGGAAAUUACGUGGAAAGAUAUAAUAAAUAUUUGAAAAAAUCAGAUUUAGUUAGAAUAAAAUGCCUACUUGCGUUGGAAAUGACGUGGAAAGAGCGUACAAAAAUCAGAUUUUUUUAGAAAUAAAUGCCUACUUGCGUGUAAAUGUCUUUAUCCUCUUCAUGACUACAUUAUAAAAGACUUUAAAAGGUGCAAGGAAUUACCAAUUCACAUUCGCAGCAAAGAAGUUCACUAUGGAAAGUUCAUCAAUGAUUUAGACUUUUGUUAGAAGGUAUAGCCCUUUAAUUGUUCAUACUGCAUUCUGAUAUUUCCAUGUUCAUUUCUCCUGUUUCUCUUAACUUAAGUAAAUAUUGAUUUUAUUACAAGGCAAUUGUAGAAAGCCAACUAUAUUUCCUGAUAUUAUAGAUAAUGUCCUCUAGUAAAAGAUAGUUCUUCGAGUAUUAUCAUUAAUACACAUGGAUCGAGACUUAAAGGUUGUUGAAUUAUGUAGAUACAGUUCCUUUGAAAUCAUUGGUGAUUAAUUGACGAAUAUGGUGUAUCAACCUCUCUGUGGUUUCUAACUUUUCAUUGGCAUGUUGGUUUUAUUCUCUUCAUUAUUUAGAAAAAGUAAGCUUUCGAAUUUCUAUGCAAGUAUGUAUAUAUAUACCAUCAUUAUUGUCUAGACAAUUCAGCAUAUAAUCACGUAAUGUGAUUGAAUGACGACUGAAUUAUAAGAAUGAAGAAAUUUUGGUUGAGAAUUUUUAUACUGGCAUGGACUGCCCCAUUUAAGUGACUAAUGAACAAAAUUGAUUUGUUAAGAUGUGAUUAAAUAUUUGAAGAGUUGCUUGAUUUGGCUAAACUUUGAUGUUGAUGAAAAAUACAACUGUUUUAUUGAUUCUGGUGCUGUUUCAUUUGGCUAAACUUUGAUGUAGAUGAAAAAUACAACUGUUUUAUUGAUUCUGGUGCUGUUAUCGGUGAUGAAGCCGGGGCGGUGGUGGCAGCUCAAUGGAAGAAAACAGUUGGACAGUGCAAGUUGAGAAAUGGGUUCAUUCUUGCAAAGGAGAGUGGAUUUCAAAUUGCAGUGCUUGAAUGACUUCCUCAUAGUAGUUCAAAUUCUUUGAAUUGAAUUAUUUGUGUCCACCAAUUUCAAUCAUACAUAGGGAGAUGCAGGUGGGUUGAUGUGGGGUAAGCUGACCCCACAAUUUUUUAUUUUUUAUUUUUGAAUUCUUCUUAUUUUAUUUAUUUAUUUUCACUUUUUAUCUUAUCUGCACCUCAACUUGUCCCAAACUUCAAAUUCCAAUGCACCUAAAAUUGUCAUUUUUCACCAAAUAAUUUAUAUUUGUUUCUUAGCUGGUUUGCACAGACGCCAAUGAACAACCAUGUUGAUUAGAUUUUUUAUGGACUUAUGGUCCAAAUAUUUUUCAAAUUUUUAUAAUUUUAUUGAGAUAUAUUGGUGGAUUCUUGCGCUUUUGAGCAUCUCGGCCGACUUAUUUGUUAGAAAAAAAGGUUCCUGCUUUUUGCUAAAUAAAUUAAGUUCAUACUCUAUAAUUGUAUUUUUGUUGAAGAAAUUUGUGCCGAUUUCAGUUUCGACUUCGAUCUCAUUUCCGAAGGAAGCAAUGACCUACCCUAACUUGGUGGUUUUGGGUUAUAGGAAUAUUAGAAUUCAUUGUUGGAUACUUAUUUUUAUGAAAAUUUUUUUCCUAUUGUGCUUUAAGUAGAACAUAGCACUGUGUAAUUUGCCCAUUGAAAUUGAUUUUAUUUUUAUGGUUUCAAUUAAUAGAAUAACAUUCAUUUAUUUUUUGAGUUUCACAUCAAACAACCAUGGAAAAAUAAUGUAAAUGAAAAUCUCUAUAUUCGAGUGAAGAGUAAAAUAUUGGUGAAACGAAUGUUCAAGUGAAAAAGGCAUUUGAAAAGUAUUAUUUGUAACUUAAUUGUUGACCCCUCCAUAAAAAAAAUGUCCAGCUCUGUAACUGGUUGCUAUGGUGUUAUUAGAUAUUAAGUCUUUACUUGUCCAUACAAAUUGCGGUAUUUGCUAUUUCAUUUCUCGUGGGGGAAUAUGGUAGCCACAAUGUAGUAAUAGCUUUCUUUUCGAUUUACAGGGUUGGUAUUGAUAGAAUGAUUGUAUAUUCAUCAUUUUUUACAAAUUGAACCAACUUUAAUUUCAAAUCUAUCUAAACCAAAUCACCUUUUUCGAUUCGGUUUGAUUUAUUACAAGUAUUACAAACCAAAGUUAUACACUUUUAAUCAUUACAAUGCAACAACAUAAUAAAAAUAAUUUAGUUUUAACUUCUUAUUUGAUACUAAUUGGUGCAACCAUCUUUUCACUUAAUGAACUAUUAAAGAAAUCAAGAAUCCAACCACUAGUAGGGAGUGCAGACUGAGAAGCAAUUGCGAAUAUUUGAAUUGCUAACAUAAUUUUACCAAUUUGGGAGACAAUUUUGUACUUAUUUCCAUUCAAUUUUCGUCAAAGUAAUAUGUCGAAAGUUUUAAUUGGACAAGUCUUCACAACGACCAUUUAAGUACUUCAUCAAAUCAUUCUAACAAUUAACGGUAAAAUUAUAAAAUAAAUUUUAAAAAAAAUAAUAAAUUGAGUGACUUGACCAGGAAAGUAAAACGUAUAUAAAUAAAAAAUAAUGUUCAGCUAAAAAUUUAAGGACUUCCACACAAAUCGAACAAAGCAAUACAACUACCAAUAGAUAUAGCAAAUAGUUACCAAAAAAAUAAGAAAAUUAGGUAAACUGGCUUGAAAAUUAAGCCAAAUUGGAGAAAAAAAUAUCAGUAAAAGGAAGAGAAAUGAUGCGAGUUUGGAUUAAAAUUUAGAUUUAAUUAUCUAAUCAAUUGUGAUGGGCUACUGAUAAAUAUAUUUCAACAGCAAUCAUUCAGUGCUUUAGCCAAUUUGAAGGUUUUACAUUCACAAUUUUGAUCACUAAUGGGUAAUAGAAUAUGGUUUAAUUAAUUAAUUGUUAUGGUAAUAGUCUAUUUGGGUUGGGUCUAACACGGAUGUAUCGUUUUAAUUGUGUUGGAUAUAAUUUAAAUUAAUUUAUUUUGAGAUUAAAACAGUUUGCAUUAAUUGAAAUCUAAAUCAAAUGACUUCGAAGCGACUUGAUUCGAUUCAAAAUCAAAAUGUUGAUGAACAAGUUAUUUCUCUAUAAUGGGAAUUCAUGCUUUGAUCCUUCAAAAUAUUAACUAUUAAAACCAAGUACUCAUUGUACUCUUAUAUAUUAGCUGUAUUGCAUUAGAUUGUAGUGAUAUUGACAAGUUGGCAAUGAUAGGGACAUUGCCCAAAUCAAAUUACAAGACAAGCGUAGUGAUAAGAAAAUUACAAAUAUCGACGUGGAAACACAUCACACUGAGCUGGAAAAGGGAUUUAGUUAUAAUUAAUGCCUACUUGCGUCCGGAUAUAUGAUUGUUUUGUGUCUUUAGCAGUCCUUGCACUAUAAAUACGUUUACAAGUGCAGAGAAUUACCAACUCAUAUUCACAGCAAAGAAGUUCUCAGGAUAUUUGAACUGUGGGAAGUUCAUUAAUGGCUUCGACUUUUGUUAGAAGGUAUAACUCUUCAAUCGUUCAUACUGCAUUCUGAUAAAAAAAUUUGUAACUAGUAUAUAAUUCUUGAGGCAUUUACUUCUAAUAAAUUGAACUUUUUUCUCAGAGUACAAGUGCAUGUUAUUUUGAUACUUGGGUUGGCAAUUGUCACAAAAGUUUUCAGUAGACUAUUAUAAAUAUGUUGUACUAACAAAAUAUCUGAACCUAGGCUCCAAGGCAAGGUAGCACUAAUCACAGGUGCUGCUAAUGGAAUAGGCGAGUCAACCGCCAAACUGUUCGCCAAACAUGGAGCUAAAGUUAUGAUUGCAGACAUCAAUGAUGAUUUGGGAGAGAAGGUAUGCAAGGAUUUGGGAAAAUCAUCAGCCUCUUUUGUCCACUGUGAUAUAACUAAUGAAUCAGAUGUAGAAACUGCAGUCAACACAACUGUUGCCAAAUUUGGGAAAUUAGAUAUAAUGCAUAAUAAUGCCGGUAUAGGAGGGAAAGCAAAUCCAAGCAUUCUUGAAAUCGAAAAGUCGGAGUUUGAAAAGAUUAUUAAUGUAAACCUCGUAGGUGCAUUCUUGGGUGCUAAACACGCUGCUCGAGUAAUGAUCCCGAAUCGCAGUGGGAACAUAAUCACAACAGCGAGUACCUGUUCAAAAAUAGGGGGUGGUUCUUCACACAAUUAUGUAAGUUCAAAACAUGGGGUGGUAGGACUCACAAAGAAUAUGGCUGUGGAGCUUGGAAAAUAUGGCAUUCGAGUAAAUUGUGUGUCGCCACACGUAGUUCCUACCCGUCAAUCUAAGGAAUUCUACAAAAUGGAUGAUGAGGGAUGCCGUGGUGUGUAUUCCAUCCUUAAAGGUGUGUUUCUUAACCCAGAGGAUGUGGCUGAAGCUGUUCUGUUCUUGGCAAGUGAAGAGUCAAAGUUUGUGACUGGACACAACCUUUUUGUUGAUGGAGGCAUCACAAUUGCAAAUUCCAAGUUUUGCAUGUUUGAGUAAUCUCUAUAAUACAUUUCCUAGAUUAUGUUUCUCCCUGUUCAGUUCUCAUGUUUAAUGUACCUAUCUCUCAUGUUUGUCUGAACUUUAAAAAAUAAAAAUAAAAAAAUAUUAAUGUUAUUAUUACAAGGCAAUUGUAGAAGUUUUUCUGAUAUUUUAGAUAAUGUCCUCUAGUAAAAUGGCAGUUGUUUGAGUAUUAUCAUUAAAACACGUGGAUUGAAGCUGUUGAAUGAAAAAUAAAAAAUAUGUCGAUCUAGUUCCUUCGAAAUCAUUGGUUAUUAACUGGCGAAUUUGGUGUAUCAACCUCUUUGUAACUUCUAACAUAUUGGUCUUAUUCUCUCCAUUUUUCAGAAAAAGUAAAUCUUUUUUCAUUCAAAUAGAGCAACUUGACAGUCCCCUCUCUUUGUAUUUUGUGACAUUGGUGGCCAGUCGAACUGUCAAAAUUUCCUACAUGUGACCAACGCGUUUGUCACGCAAUAUAGAGCUAACUUUCAUAGCUAGACGCUACAACUGUUUUGUAAUAUACUAGCGUGGAUUGCUUUAGAUUUUAGUGAUUUUAACAUUUAUGACAACUCUUAAAUUGUAUUAAAAUUGUUAGUAACAAUGAUGAUGUUAAUGUAAUUACCACUGUACUAAAAUGUAUUAGUUUUUUUAAUUACAGAAGACAAUGAAAGUUGGUGCUUUCUCCCUUUGCCUAUAGAUGUAAACCAAAGGCACGUGAUAAAUAAGAUGAAUAAGUACAUAUUUCAAUUGGACAAUAAUAAAUUACCUUAGCCUUUUUAUUUUGGAUUCUUUAGCAUGGAUCUCUUUGAUGUGGUGCAUAAUUUCAAAUACGAGUACAUAUUUUGGAAUAUUUUUCUUCGAAAUUUAUAUAUUAAAAAUUAGCCUCUAUUUGGGAAAAUUCAUAAAUUAUUUAUAAAUGGUCAAAUUUUAUUUUCAAUAAUGCAUUACAAUAGAUCCACAAGUAAUAUCCACUUAUAUACAACGCAUUUCUAUUAAUAUAUAAACUAAAACGCUCAUACAUUCUUCCCAGACAGAGGCUCAGAUGUAUUUUGUAAGCUUACAUAUGGCAUGUUUGACAUGUAAACUUAAAAAAUAUAAUUGUAAAUUGUAAUAUUUCGUUUAAAAAUUAAAACAUAAAGUCAAAAAAUUAAGCAGGGUGGAGCCAUGAAAUGAUUUUGGGUUGGCUAAAAUUAAAAUUUAUAAAUAAGUUCACACUACGAGAGAUCGAGUUUAGGAGACUGUGCUCAUUACAUUCAUGGCUAAUAUUAUCAAACGCUCAAUGAAGUACACGUUUAGAUGUUCAUCCUAAAAUGUCCAACUAGAUAUUAAUCUUAUUUUUUUAGAAAUACGUAAUUCACACUCAACUUAGAAAAUAAGUGUAAAAACCGACAAGGAAUUUCAAAGGUAAAAAAAUGAUUUAUUUCACAUCCAUAUUUGAUUCAGCUUCCAUAAUACACAUAUAAUUUGAUUAUUUAAAAGUAAAGAAGUUCUUAUAAAUAUUAUUUUUAUUAUAAGAUUAAUUAUAAAGUAAGUUACUUAUUUUAAUAGUAAGAUCUAUUUCAUGGUCAAAAUAUGUAAAUUUCUUGCUUAUGAAUAUCAUGAAUAUAUUAUAUUUGAAAAUAGUUUUAUAAAUAAAUAAUAAUAAUUACUUUAACCUUUGCCAAACAUUUAGUGUCAAAAUAUGUUUUCAUGUGGUUGAAAAGCAUUCUUUUGUUUGUAAAAUAACUUAUUUGUGUUGGUUGAACUUAUGUCUGUUGGUUGAGGGAAUGGAAAGUAUUUGUUACAUUGGUUGGUACAUUUUAUUUAUAUGAUAAAUAUUUGGGUUAGUUUUUCAUCUAAGCUUAAAAUAAUUAAUUAGUUUAAUGUUGUUUAUCAUGGUAGCUUGUACUCAAAAAUAUUUUAAUUUUCAUCUUAGCUGAGUUGGAAUUAGAUUUGUGUACUUAUUAUAGGUGCUGGUAAUCAAAUAAAUAAAUUAAAAAAUUAAAAAAUUAAAUUAAAAUUUAUGGCUUGCUGUUGGUUUUGCACGCCGUAAAUGCUAACGAGGUAACCUUUCAUGGCGUGCGAUUGCACACCGUUAAAAGGAAAAACUUGCAUUUACGGCGUGCAAUCACACGCCGUUAAAAGUAAAACUCUCAUUUUUUACGACGUACAUGUGUACGCCGUUAAAAGGAAAAAAUGCAUUUUCGCUGCACGUCGUAAAAAAUCAUAUAACUAAUAACGGCAUUCUAAAAUGGCGUACUUUGUAAGCCGUAAAAAGUUGACACUUAUUACGGCAUUGCUUUAUACGGUGUGCGGCCGCACACCAUAAAGGUGUUUUUACGGCGUGCUUAAAAAGUCUGUUUUGUUGUAGUGAAUAAGUGAUUUAUUUUAGCUCUGAUCUAUACAAUUUAUUUAUUAUAAAAGUUUAUUUACACUCUCUCCGUCCCAUAUAGGGCCGGUCCUGUGAUUUUCGAGGCUCGAGGCGAAGUCCAUAAAUUGGGCUCCUCCUCACGAAAUCAACGUAAAUGCAAAAUUCAACGGUAUAUCUUGCAUGCUAUUGCUAACUUAAAACUUAACAUUAAAACAACAAACAAAUAUAUUAUUUCAACGAUAUAUUAUGCAACCUAAUGUCCAAUGAUUAACCUAAAAGAAAUUAUGAAAUAUCUCAAUCAUUUCACAAUUAGAGUUUUCAAUAUAGUUACUACGCGCGCCUGUACAAUUGUUGAUCAUAUAAAACCAAUCAUAUAACCCGACCAGACCACCAUUAUAUAAGCCGACAAGGCUUCAAAUAUUUCUAACAUAUUUAUUAAGAAGUUAGAGCAAGCCAUUACUAAUCUGAAAAGUAGAAUUUUAACGAAAAUUAUGGAAUAACACAUUUUAGAAUUCCACCGUCACAACUCAUAAGCCUGAAAUAAAAAUUUUAUCAUUAGACAAUUCCCUAUUGCUGCCUUAGCCAGUCAAGAACGCUAAAUAAUAAACAGAUACCAAACGUUGUAGGUUCAAAUAGGACACACAUUCUUGGAUCAAGAUGUGUUGAACAAAUUCCCAUUUUUCAUUUUGCAAAUCCAAUAACAUUUUCGAUUAUUUAUGCAAAAAUUUGAGCAUUAUGAAUUUACAGAAACAAUACAAAAAUUAAAAUGACAUCCAGACUCUAUAGUUGUCCCAAAAAAAUUGUGACCUUAUCUCGAUGAAAUUAAAGUGGAUCGUCGAUCGCACUAUUACAUGCAGGAGGGAAAACGAAUGAAAAACCAAAUUUUCCUCUAACUCCCUAAACCCUAUAUAUAUAUAUAUAUAUAUAUAUAUAAGGUACCAAAAUUAGGACCCCUUUGGUUUUGGGCCUAAGGCGUAGGCCUCAAUUGCCUCGACCCAGGACCGGCUAUGCAUAAAGAUAAUUUUGUUUCCAUUUUCAUAGAGAUUAAGUUAGGAAAAAUAAGUUAGAGAAAAGUAGGUUCUUGCAAUUUUUGCCAAUAAAUAUGUAUUUUUGACACUGAAAGAAGGUCAUUUACUCAAAUGCAACGUGAUGCAGUGUGGUAUCAGGUGAGAUAAUGUGUGUGGGAAUGGAAAUGAAGAAAUAAUAUUAAUACUAGCUGUGAAUCUAUAUUCUUGAUUGUGUGAGUCUACUGGACGAUACAAUGUGUGAUGUGGCUCAUAGUUGUAUGGUACAUAGAGAAUCUUGAAAUUGCAUAUCACAUAAUCACGUGCCUAUGAAAUGUAACGUGCCUAAUGGACAUAGCAUGGUAAGAAAUAUAAUGGUUUGAUAGGUUGCACUAUGUCGCAAAGACAUGACCCCCACACUAGAACUUGACGAGCUAUGGCGACCGCUCUUGCUGGCUCAGUCAAAAAAAUAUAUUGGCAACUGCUCAAACAGCCACGCAUAAUUGAGCUACCAUAUUAAUGUCUCUUACCACCACCACCACCGUCGCCUCCAUCUUGGUUGGGAAUGAUGACAAUACUGAUGGGGACACCACUGGUGGUGACACUGCUGUUAAACGCACAAUCUUGGCUAGACUUGCUUGUUGCAGUAGUUGGUAGCUUCAAGAUUGUGGGUUACAUCUAUAGAGACCACAUGAAUGCUUUCUUUACACAGUUUCGGGCUUCAUUGAAGGUUAAUUCUUGCCCAUUUAUUCACUUUAGUAGAUUACAAGAUUUGUUAUUUGACAACUUUUGGCUUUCUUGAAAGAAUAAUUUGUUUUAAAUUGAAAAGGGGAACGAAAAAUGGUUUCUUUUUGCCAUGGAAGCUACCAUAGCUCAAAUAAUUGAAGCUAAAAUAUUGGUUACAAUUAAGAAUUUUUGGAGAAGAUCUCCGAAGUGGGUUUUGGGAAGUAUGUUUCUAGUGAUGAGUUGAGACAGUAAUAGUUUCUUAUUGACCAUGUAUUGGCAUUUUGGGUGAUAUCUCGCUUCCCGUUAGAUGGAUCCAUUUUAGUGAUUUGGGUUAUAUAUAGUAUGGUUUUCACUUGUCAUCCUUGAGAGUUAGCUUGAUGCAGCUUUCUUUUGUUUAAUCUAGUAUUAGUUGAAAUACCAUUGCAACUGUGACAGGUGAAGAUAUGGGUUCGAAAGGUAUGACGUGUAGGCAGAAAUGGUCAAUGAUCAAUGACGUCCUAGCUCACUCCAAUUCCUGGACUCGCCAUUGCACCAUGCGCAAACCUUUAAAAGCUUUCAUACAACAUAAUUAGUACGCAUUACUGGUUACUACCCCUUAGAAUUAUAUUUUUCCAAAUGUCAGAUUUUAAAAGACGGAACUAUGAUUGUGCACAUUCAAGUUACUUCACCCCAUUUAACUUAUAAUAGGAGAGUGUGACCUGUGCCCUACCCAAUAAUGCAUAUCCACUCGAACCCGUCAAACCAUGGCAAUAAUAACAAGUACAGAAAUUUCAUAUUGCCCUUAAUUAGCCAAUUGAAAUAGGAAAAUAUCUUGAGUUAAGAUGUUACUUAAACCUGUGAAUUCGGUGCACACAAAGCUGGCAAGGAUAACCUUAAAUAAAGGGAAAAAAAAUAUAAAUUAAACAAAACGUCAAGAAGCAGUCUUGCAACAUAUUGUCACAUGAUGAAAUAAUAGCCUAUAAAAAUCCUCAACAGAAUUGCAAAAACUUGAGUUCCAAUGCUCAGUGAAAUUGUAGAGUUCAAUGCCACACUGCAUAGCUAGAAAUCACUUGAAUUUUAUCCCUAUUUAGAUGCUGAAUAUGGUGCUCUGCAAACUCAAUUCUACCACCAAAUAUUCUACCAACAGAAUCCAAUGGCUUAUGAACAAUUACGACUACUUCAACCAGAGACUGACCAAGUAACUCAUACGACUAUUUUCUAAUAUCAAAAUAUAUGGCCUUUGAACAAUCAUAAGAUUACUUCAACGAGAGAUUGACCAAGUAACUCGUAUGAUCAUUUUCAAAAUCGACACAAAUUAUUAAUUCUAGCCCACCGAAUAUAUGAUGUGUUCUUAAGAUGAAUUUGCCACUACAACAAAUAUAGCUUUUGUAACACAUAAAAGGCAACAUUCGUUAAUCGAAUGUUGCAAAAUGUGUCUACUACAACGUUAGAAUAUGUGAAUGCUGCUAUUAGUUAAAAUAAUUGAGAUUUGGCAACAUUUUUAAGCCGUUGUUGCUAAUGUCAGCUUUUUGCAAUGUUUAUUUAGUGUUGGGAAAAGUUUUAUUUUUCACAACAUUUAAUAUCUGUUGUUGAAGGUUCGACAUUUCGCAACGUUUUCAACGUUUAGAAAACGUUGCGAAAAGAUAACAUUUCACAACAGUAGACGAACAUUGCAAAAAGAUAAAUUUACAACAGAAUAGAAACGUUGCAAAAAGAGAACCUUUUCGCAAUGUCUACUAAGCGUUGCAAAAAUAUCUUUCACAACGUUUUGGAAAAACGUGGCGAAAGAUCAGCCCACAUGUAAUUGGAUCAUAAAAAAUAAAACUAUUUCAUGGCCCAUCGCGUGACCCAAUUCAAACUAUUUUAUGGCCCAUUACAAGACCCAAUUCAAUUACACCCCAAUGGAGACACACAAGACAGCAUAAUUCAGUUUUCUUGCACUUCUCAUCGCCUUCUUCUACCUGCAAACUCGUCCCUCUCACGAAUACUUUGCUGGAAAAUUGAUUUUGAUAUAUGAGUGUUUUAUGUUAAGCUUAAUAUGCUGACUUGAUGCUUCAAAAUUUGUAUAUCUUCAAGGUUCUUUUGGAUAAAGUGCAUGUGUGGUCAUUAGGAUUUGUUUAGAAGGUUUAUGUCAUAUUUCCAAGGAGCUCUGAUUGGUUUUAAACAGGACAUGAUUAAUCUCAUUUUCAUGUGCUAUCAAAAAGAUAUAUUGCUUAAUAUAAAAGCAGGUGAAUUAAUUUGCAUAUUUUACUAUACAAUAUUUAAAAAAUUUUAAAAAAUAUUGGUUAAUAUAAAAGCAGGUGAAUUAAUUAAAAAUAAGUUUAAAACUGUUGCUAAUUAAUUAGAGCAAUGACAAUAUUUGGAAAAAUGUUGCACAUAGGUUAAAGGCAACGUUGAAGAAAUGUUGCAAAAAAAGGUAAAUAACAACACUUAUAAAAUGUUGUGAAAAAACUGGUCGUAAGUUUCGGCAACAUUUUUAAAGUGUUGCGAAAUACUAUUUUCGCAACGUUGCAAAAAACUGUUUUCGCAAUACUUUAAAAACAUUGUGAAACAGAAGUUUCACAACGUUUUUUGAACGUUACGAAAUACUAUUUUCGCAACGUUCAGAAAACGUUGCCGUAUCCUUUCCCUCUUCAGCAACAUUUUCUGAACGUUGCAAAAAGCUUACUUCGUUGUAGUGUGCUCAAAGAACCAACUGCAAUUAGAUUUUGUAGGUGUAAGUACAUUGUAAUUCCUCUGAAGUUAGUUAGGAUUAGGAGAAAUUUUCUAAUAUUUUUGAACUAUAAAAUUUAGUGCUCUGUGUCAUUAUUCAACUAACAUUUAUAGAUGUAUUCAUAUCAGGUCUCAAUUAGAUAGUGAGUCUCAAAUAUUUAAUACACAUAUCGAUUAAAUUAACAAGUUUCACAUCACCAUUUACAUCUUUUUCAGAUUGAUGAGGUGGCAAUAAAUUGAAUUAAUCCUAUAAAAUCUCUUCACCACUUAAACAAUUGUGCUCAUGUAACGUUCAUUAAUGGUAAAAAGUGUAUUUUAUUUGUUCAAUCAAAUCUAGCCACACAAUUUGUUGAUAAACAAAUUUGUAAGUUGUGAUAUACGUACAACACAAUCGAUUAAAUUAAUAUGUGUAUCAAUUAAGCAGUAACAAAGUGCAUUGUGUACACCAUACUUCAAUAGUAUGAAAAAAGUUUACCAGAAAACUUACUUUUAAUACUCACACCCCAAUGUUGACUCAGAGAUGCCUUAUGGUACCAAGAUUCAAUUUAAGUUUCUCCUAAAAAAAAUGUUAUUAGCUCGAAUCCUAAGAUGAGAUAGAAAUUCGUAAGGAAUGAGAUGAUUUUAGACUCUUUCAUAGCGGACAAUACAUAAAUUAAUGAUUUGGGCACAGAGGUUAGGUCAUUACAGAUCAAUGACUAAGAUAUAAAUAAGUUCAUUGGCCUCAAAUGUGAGAAGUAAUGUGCUUUUGGGAUCUCCUUUUUUAAAUAACUGUUAAGCAAUAAGCUUGUGAUUAAAUGCUUGAAUUUGAUGGGAUCCGCUUGAUCCCAAGGAGCAUAUGAAGUAACUUAAUUCCAUUAACUUUAUAUUGCCCUACUAUUUAUGACUUGUAUUUGAUUUGUUUCAGUGCAGAUUUUCCAUAAAACUAUUGCAACAUACAGUUUCAAUAUCAGUAUCAUAGAAUAGACGUUACAAAAUAAACCAGCAAUACACUUGAUCAAACUAUGAAACUUAAGAGCGAAAUGAUAUUAAAGAAAGAAUAUAUUCGUGUUAUGUUUAAUAUGUUGAAUUGAACUGAAUCAAACAGGAUCAAAAAAGAUUUUCAUUCAAUAUCCUAUCUAGUACACGUGAAUUCAAUAGAAAACUUCUUCAUUAGUCUCUGCCCUGUGGACAAUACAAAAAUUCCUUUUUUUUUUAAAGGAAGAUAACACCAACAACAAUCAAAGAAGCAAAAUAGUGAGCAAUUGGAGUGAAAAGCAGUAACAUUCUUGAUGAAGACUUAGCAAAAGACUAAUAGACCUUCACUUCUUUGAUUUCCUUGUAGUGUCCUCUUGCAGAAAGUCAAGCAAAACAGUGCUCUUACAUUUUGGGCAUUUCGGGUCCUUUUCCAAUAGCAUAAUAUACAUGAGACAUCGAGGACAACCGACCAGCAUCAUCGCAGUCGAUUCAGGGCUUCGUAGAGUUUCAUCCGAGCUAACUUCCAGAGACAAACAUGAACUUGGAGAUGAUAUAUCUGAAGAAGAAAUUGAUCGAUUGGGAGAUUCAACAUGAAUAUAUGCCCUUGGUGGGGAUAAAUUCAGUUUCAAAUCAAGCUUUGGACCAUUGGCGUUGUAACUCAUUUUCUUGAAUACCACUGUAGACAAAACCAAAUGAAUCAGGAAUAUGACAAGAAUUUAGUUCAGUCAACAAGAAACUAUAUAAAUGAGGAAGAUAAUCAAUCAAACAGUAAAUCAAAGUCAAGAUUACAGUUAAGUAGGCAACUAUUUUCAACCAAACUUUGAAAUUUCGAGGCUGAGAUUCUAGAGGAAGUUUCUGAUGGCUCUUUCAAAACGUCAAGGGAAUAUAAAUACAGGAGGGAGGGUGAGAGAGAGAGAGAGAGAAGUAUGCAGUAAUCUAAUUGAAUUGAAGUUUAAAGAAGAGGAAAGUGGUAGUAGAUAAUUAUGUAUAUUCAUUGACAGUGAAGAAAUCAAAGAAAUUUGGUUGCAGUGCGCAAAUUAGAGUUAAUGUUUGCAACUAAAAUUGGCUAAUAUAGCUUCAUUCAUUGCUGAUAAUGUUGGUUUGCUUAUUACAUGCAAUAGGUGUAAUUAAAAUCCCAUCAAAAGGCCUAACUGCCAGCAGCAUCACAAUUUUUUCCAUUUAUGAACUCAUAAAAUAUUCAUCCUUUUAGAAAUAUACAUCUUUGUUGUGUACUUCCAUUCGUUGACCCCAUAAGCUAAGAAAAUUAUAUAACCUAGUCGACCAGACAAUAAACAUGAUUAUAGCUCGUUUUUCUUCUUAUAUGCUAUCUAGUCGACUUUAGCAAACAUGCAGAUAAUGGUCUCAUGGUUCGAUUAGAUAAACCUCAAAACCCGGACAUAGACAUUUAAAUAGUGUGUAUUCCUCCGUAUUGUACAUAUGUAGCUUGCACGAACUGUCCAACAUAAUGAGUAGAGUAGUACUAUUCAUACUAACUCACUACGACAGUCGUCCUACGUGUCAUACAUCCAUGUAGGACGACUAUCGUAGUGAUUGACUACGAAUAACAUUAUUCUUUUGAUUAACAUUGUUCAGUAGUUUAAACUGUGUUUACGAUCUUUAUUAUUAUUUGCUUUUGUACAUUUAGGCCAUGUUUGAUGGUCAUUAAUUGGCAAAAACAAAGAUUUUAAUAGUAAAAUUUUUUUGGAGAAUGUGGUUAAAAGUAAGAAAAAGUUUUGGGUUUACAUACAAAAUAUUUUAUUUUGUGAACAUGUGAUUGAAAAUGAGGGAAAAAAAAAAAAAAAGGAGUAGAGCUUUGAAAUAAAGGACAAUGGGGUGCUUAGUGUUGUUUAUGUACCAAAGUACAUAGCCGCCUUCUGGUAUUGUGUCAAGGAUGGACUUUGAUUAAGGCUGCGGACUACAUUGUAGGUUUGAGUUGCAAAAGUUGCCUCACGGCACUCAACAUGUCACGCUCUACGUAAAUUACAAAGCACGGAUAGGUGUGUCACAAAAGCUUGACAAGCAUGUUUAGAAUAAAAUUCAAAAUAGAAAAAGCUAAAAAUCUCGUACAUAUCAUAGUAGUUGAAAGUUGUCGAUAAAUGAAAUGAAACCCAAAGUAUUCGAAGUAACGUAAUAUUAAAACUGGAAGAGUUUAAACCAAAUGGUAGUUUUUCUCAUCAUUUUCCAUGGGGACAUUUUGUGAAGAAUAAGCUCUCGCAUCGUUUAAUCCAAAGAAUGACUCUUUUAUUUCUGGUGUUAGAAGGCUCCCGUUUCCAACAAUGGGAGCCGAACUCCCACAAGAAUGCCGUUACCUUGCUUUUUUCUUUUUACUCACAAUUUUCCCAGUUUUUCCUUGGAGAAAAGCUUUUGCCUAAUGUUACAAAUUAUGGGAGUACAUCUUUAACUACAACUUAAAAGCAUAGCCUCCAACACAACUUGUGCUAAUUAUAAUUUCAUCAUUUACUUCAGAUUUAUUAUCUAGCUCCAUAAUAUUUGUAGCUGGAUUAAUUAAAUGUGACUUAAUGAAGACCUAAUACGAGUAAAAUAAUAAAUGAGAUGGUAACUGCAAUAAAAUAGUAAGACGAAAUAAAAUAACGAGAUGGCGCUUUAUUAUUAAUACAUAUUUAUGCCUUGCCUAUGCUUGAGGUACUUAGUUCAACUAACGUUAUUAAUGCAAAAGCAUGAAAUUUCCUAGAUUGUGCUAUCACAUCAACAACUAUGUUGGCUGAAGUGAAGGGUCAAGAUUUGAUUUUGCAAAACCUUUUUUUGGAGGAGCAAUUAAUGCUAUUCAUUACUAUUGGUGUUAAGCACCAGUAUGAGUAGCAACGACACAUAAUUAAAUGAUAAAUUCACUUAAAUACAAUAUCACAUAAUUUAUUUAGUGCUUGUUUGGUAGGGACUUUAUUAAUUGAUUUUUUGACUGUUAAAGAUAAAGUGAAUCCUACUUGUGAGAGAAGAAUUCAAAAAUUACGGUUGUAAUAGUAAAAUAACGGUUAAAAAAUUGAUGUUAAUUGGAUUAAAAUCAUUACCAAACAUGCUUUUAAUUGAAUAUAUCAGGUAUGACAAUCUAGACUGGUGCUAGAUAACAUUUUUUUUUUUUUUUUUUUUUGGAGACACUAGUAUUAAACACUUGGGCAUAUACAAGAAGGAAGUCUAGUGUAACUUCCAAUAGCACUAGUUUUGUGGGUUCUGCUAGUAAAAUGAUUGAUGCAGGCAACGAAAGAGAGAAGAAAUUGAGAAUAGUUCAACAAAAAAGAAGAACCCGAGAUGUCACCCAGCUUGGGUGAUGAAAGCGUCGCUAAUCACUGAUGUCACUCAAGAUGACUAAGUCCACAAUUGAUUAAUUAAGAGAAAGAAAACUCCAAAAUAAGACUACUGGAGAAGUAAAUUUUUUCCUUCCCCAAAGCUGGUCCAUUUCUGCUGAUUUGCCCCCAAAAUAAAUCUAGAGACGUGACUCACAAUUGAUAUAUUAAUGAAGAAUAGACAUUUUUUGGAAUAUUACAUUAUUUUAGAUAUUUUGAUAAUAGUUCCAAGACAAAUCCAAAACAUAAUAUUUUUGAAACUUACACUAGACCUAUUGAGUAAUUACAAUCUAACCUAAUCAUGAACGUGUAUCAUUCUUCUCCACUUGAGAAGAAAUCUUAAUGCCCAAAGACAAGUCUUUUCAAAGUGCUUAGGAAAUCGUCUAGCUCUUGAACUAAAAUUAUGCAUCUUCAGAGUGCGAAUCUUUGUUGAAAUGAUCCAAAUACCAUAUUUAUAGAAUAUCGAUGCUUUCAAUAGUAGAAGUUGUAGGCACAUUGCGAUGAUAAAUGAAAAGCUAGAAGCAACAAAGAGGUUGAUACACCAUAUUCGUCCGUCAAUAACAAAUGAUUUCGAAACAACUGGAUCUUCAUAUUUUUUAAUUUUCAUUCAAAAACAUUUAAGUCGUCGAUCCAUGUGCAUUUACUGGAGGACAUUAUCUAAAAUAUCAUAAAAUAAAGUUGGCUUUCUGCAAUUGCCUUGUAAUAAAAUCAAUAUUUAUACAAAGCUAAGAUAAACAGGAGAAAUAGGUUGAUUAAACAUAACUUAACAGGGAAAUAUUUUCUGGAAAUUACUCAAACAUGCAAAACUUGGAAUUCGCAACUGUGAUGCCACCAUCCACAAAAAGGUUGUGUCCAUUCACAAACUUUGACUCAUCACUUGCCAAGAACAUAACAGCUUCAGCCACAUCCUCUGGCUUAAGAAAAACACCUUUGAGGAUGGAAUAUACACUACCAAAUCCCUCAUCGUCCAUUUUGUAGAAAUCCUUUGAUUGCCGUGUAGGAACUACGUGUGGUGACACGCAGUUUACUCGAAUGCCAUAUUUUCCAAGCUCCACAGCCAUAUUCUUUGUGAGUCCUACCACCCCAUGUUUUGAACUUACAUAAUUGUGUGAAGAACCACCGCCUAUUUUCGAACAAGUACUAGCUGUUGUGAUUAUGUUCCCACUGCGAUUUGGGAUCAUCACUCGAGCAGCGUGUUUAGCACCCAGGAAUGCACCUAUGAGGUUUACAUUAAUAAUCUUUUCGAACUCUGAUUUUUCGAUUUCAAGAAUGCUUGGAUUUGAUUUUCCCCCAAUCCCGGCAUUAUUGUGCAUUAUAUCUAAUUUCCCAAAUUUGGAAACAGUUGUGUUAACUGCAGUUUCUACAUCGGAUUCAUUAGUUAUAUCACAGUGGACAAAAGAGGCUGAUGAUUGUCCCAAUUCCUUGCAUACCUUCUCUCCCAAUUCAUCAUUGAUGUCUGCAAUCAUAACUUUAGCUCCAUGUUUGGCGAACAGUUUGGCGGUUGACUCGCCUAUUCCAUUAGCAGCACCGGUGAUUAGUGCUACCUUGCCUUGGAGCCUAGGUUCAAAUAUUUUGUUAGUAUAACAAAUUUAUAAUAGUCUACUGAAAACUUGUGUGACAAAAUUCCUCAAGAAUUAAAUAAUAGUUACAUUUCUUUCUUUCUGUUUUAUCAGAAAGCAGUGUAUAUGAACAUUUAAAGAGUUAUACCUUCUAACAAAAGUCGAAGCCAUUUGUGAACUUCCCACACUUGAACUUUUCUUGCUGUGAAAGUGAAUUUGUAAUUCUCUGCACUUUUAAAUGUAUUUAUAGUGCAAGGACUGUUAAUCAUGAAGAGGAUACAGACACAAAACAACUAUAUAUCUAAAUCAAUUUUCCAGCUAAGUGUGAUGUGUUUCCAAGUCGUUAUUUGUAGUUUUCUUAUCACUAAGUUUUGUCUUGUAGUUCGUUUUGGGCAAUGUCCCUAUCAUUGCCAACUUACUUGUCAAAAUCACUACAAUCUAAUGCAAUACAGCUAGUAUAUAAGAGCACAAUAAGCACUUGGUUUUAAUAGAUCAAGCUUUGAAGGAUCUAGGCAUGAAUUUUCAUUAUAGAGAAAUAACUUCUUCAAUUAGAUGAACCAAUAAAAAUUGAGUACAAUAAGCACUUGCUUUUUUGAUAAUUUAUUUUACUUUUUUGGAGCGGGUUCAUGUCACAAGCUCUUCCUGUUGUCCUGUUGCUAAUAUCGACGAUCACGUCACAAUUUGAAUGGAGGUUCCUCUCUUUUUUUUUUUUUUCCUUUUUUUUUUUUUUUUGGUAACCAUUUGUUAUAUUUUAUUGGUAGUUGUGUUGUUUUGUUCUUAUUUGUGCCAAACUCUCUUAAACUUUUAGUUGAACAUUAUUUUUGGUUUAUUAAUGCUUCAAUUUUCUAGUUAGGUUACUCAAUUUAUUAUUUAGCUUUAAACUUAGUUGCUAGAUAUUGUUGUUAAUUGCUAGAAUGAUUUGAUGAAUUACUUAAAUAUUAGUUGUGAAAAUUUGUUGAAUAAGCUUUUUAAUUGGUCACAAUAAUAUGACAGAAUUUCAAUUUUUCAAAGUUAGUCACUUUGUUAGCUCCCGUUACUAAAUUUAACAUCUCAAUCUAGUGAUGUCAAUGGAUCGAGCCGGCUUAACCUCACGAGCUCGUGGCUCGUUGAAGCUUGACUCGUUGAUUUUGGGCAAGCUCGGCUCUGCCCACGAGUUCGUCGCUCGUCCGAGCUCGUGAGUGACGAACUCGUGGGCUGAGCCGAGCUUUGGCUUGCGAGCUCGCCAUCUUUUUUUUUUUUUUAUAAAGAAAAACACAAAUAAUGUAAUGAAAAUACUUUUAAAAACAAUAAAAAGUGUUAAAAAAAUGCAAAUAAUUUAAUGAAGACACUUUUUUCUUUUUUAUUUCUAUCAUAUUGUAAUAUUUUUUAUAAAGUAUAAAAUAUUUAUAUAAUGAAGACGAAUUGUUUUUUGAAAUACAUUUACAAAAAAUACAUUUUUUUCGAUUUCUUUUUAAAGUAAAUAAAAUGUAAACCCUCCUCUUUUAUCCGGGCUUGGGAUCGGCUACAUCAAUUUUAAGUAGGUGGAGUUAAAAAUUGUACACAAACAACUUGUUGUAACGUGUACAAUUUUUAAAAGAAAUUAAUUUUAACGAUUAAAAAAUAAGAAAAUUUUGAUUAAUAUAAUUAAAUCAAAUAUCACUUACUUGACGACAUACAAUUUCAGCGUAUUUAUCUUAGAGUCGAAAAUGAGCGUUAUGUCAAUUUUUCAUGCACAUUAACACUUUCAAAACAUCUUUUUUUAGUCGGCUCUUGACAUCAAUCAAAACCCUUUUAUUUACACUAAAAGUAGACUCCGAAACAACAAUACUAACCGGAGGUGUCAGUAGAUAUUUCGCAAUUCUAGAAACAAUUAGCCAACGUCUUUCAUAUUUUCGCCAGAAUUCAAUUACUUCUUCUAAACUUUUUUUAAUUGUUCUGUCUGAUGGUAUAUUAUGAUUGAAGUAAUCAAUUAAUUCAACAGGUAUCACAUUUUAAGUUGCGACCAAUGUUUGAUGAGAUGCAAAUGUAGACGAGAUGACAUUAGAUGAACACAUUGCAGUUGCAUCAUAUCUAAAUGUAUUAAUGCCUUGAAAUAAAUUCAUUAUUUCGGCAUCAUCUUCUUCAAUUUUAGCCGAAAUAGUAGAUGCAGAGGAUACCCAACUAACAUUUGCACACAUUCUUUCCGCAUAUAAAUCUCAUAUUUCACAUAAUGUUUGCUCUAAAUUUUUAUAGGUGAUAGGUAUAUUAAGUAUUAAGGCUUUAUUGAUUUGAUUAAUUACGUAUGUAGUUCCCCAAAUAUUAUAUCGGAUGUCCAUUGCGCAUGCUAAAGAAAAUAAUAUAAGCAAUUCUUCCCAAUAUUUUCUAAACUUUAAUUUUAUAACAAUUAUAAUUUCACUAAAAGCAUGACAAUUCUUAUAUUUAUGGAAUGUUCUUGCAAUUAUAUAAAGGCGUUCAAACACCAUACAGCUUGUGGAUAAUAAAUGCCGGAUAAAAUUUUUGUGGUCUCAUAAAAAAACGUAAAAAAUCGUUUAACUUUCAAAGCUAAAAUCCAAUCUAAUUCAUUCAACGUACCAUCAUCAUCACUUCUAACGUGUCUAUUAUUAUAAAAAUCAGUUAUUAAAUGUUUGAAACAUUUACAUGACUUUAAUAGCAAGUAAGUAUAGCUCCAUCUAUGACCUACAUCGCUAACAAAUAUUUUAGCAAUCGUCAUCCCUAGUUCGGCACAAAAACCUUCAAAUGCUUGUUUUCUACUAGGAGAUAUCGUAAUAUAUACUAAUGCUUUCAUAACCUUUAAAGUUCAUCCUUUAUAUGUUUUAAGUUAUCUUGCACAAUUAAAUUUAAAAUAUGACAUACACAACGAAUAUGAAACAAAUACCCACCAAAAUCAGAUUGUAGUGUCCUACACAAUUUAUCGACGACUACCUUAUUAACACUAGCAUUAUCAAAAUCAAAAGAUCGAAUUUUAGUCUCGCAAUUAUAUUCUCUAACAAUAUUGAUAAUAGCAUUAUAUAUAUUACUAGUAUUGUGAGGAAACUCAAUAAUUCUAAAAACAAUAUUUUUUUUAUGUAUGCACCAAAAUGUGUCUAUAGUGUGCGGUUGCAGCUAUAUAUGCUCUUUUAUUAACCCCUUCCAUAUAUUAGAAAUUAAAGAUAUAGCACUCCCAUAUUGUUAUAAAUCCAUAAUGAAUCGUUGUUUUGAAUUAUUGAAAUAUUUUAUUGUAUUGGCACGAAAAGUAUUUCGACUUACCCCAACGUACUUUGGUUGCAAAUAUUCUUUCAUGAAUGAGACGAAGUGUUGGUUGUUUGCAAUAGUCAGAAGCAACUCAGUGGCGGCAACAAAUUUCACAAUUUCAGUCCGAGUAUUGUCCUCCGAAUACACCCAUGUGGAUAGGGGUGAAGUCGUAGAACCGGUGCCUGGACUGCUAAAUUGCAAUUGUGUUUGACCAGUUUGAAGAAGUCUAUGUCUGGCCGCACAUGCUUUGUAGUGGCAGUUGAGAUGGGUGGUACUAAUUCCUUUUUGCCAUGCCAAUCUUUUUUGGUAGUAUUUAUAUACUGCCUUAGAUUCUGCAAGGCCAUCGACGACUUUUUUCGUUGAAAUUAACUUAAAGUGAUCCCAAUAUUUUGCUUGUUUUUUGCCCUUUCGCUUUUUCCUUGCAUCUAGAAUGUUUUAUUUGACAUCUGCGUCCUUAUGUUCCGCUACGGGAACAUUAAUAUCACUCAAAUCAAUUGGAUUGUGGUUUUCAUGACCGUAAAUAUGAACAUCUUCAGGUAUGGGUACGUUAUUUAGACCGACAAAUUCAUUUGGAAAUUGACUUUGCGGCGUUCUAGGCGAUUUGCCAUGUGGACCACAUCCCGUAUCGAAUAAGCUCUCGACAAAUGAGCGUUGAUCCAUUUAUUUGAUUGUUUAUGAUAAAAUUCAAAUAUAAUAACUAGGAAAAUAUAAAUGUAGUGAGAAUUGAGAAUUGGAUGACUUGAAAUUGUAACUGAAUAAACUGUAAAAAAUGAAUCGAUAUUGUAUAUUUUGCAGCACAAAAGAGUAAAAACUUGAUAAUUGAUAUAAUAAAAGAGAGUUAAGAAAUGAGAAGUAGUGAUUGAGGAGAUAACUGAUAUGAAAAAAGGGGGGGAGGGUUAAGGGGUAUUUAUAAUAGAAGCAAAAAAAAAUUUUAAAAAAUAUUAGUGACCAAACGGUCACUAAAAAAGUGACCAAAACGGUCUCUUGUUUUGGUCACUAAAGUCACAAGCCACGAGCGGCUCGCCUUUGAGGCGAGCACCUCCCGACGAGGUCGGCUCGGCUCGCGCUCGAGCUCUUGAUUUUACGAGCCCAAGCCGCUCAUGAACCCUAUUUCGACGAGCCGAUACCUUUUGACAUCCCUAUCUCAAUCCUACAUGGAUGUCUUAAAAAGAAUAAUAUUACUUGUAUAUAAUAGUUUACAUAAAUGUGAGGUCAUAAAAUUGAGGGGGUAAUUUUAUAUUUUUUUUUAUUUGGUUGAAAAAAUUUUGAUCAAACCAUAUUUUAUCACAUUAUGUAUAUGUAAACCAUUAUGUACAUGUAGUGCAACGGUUGAAAAUAUAUCCUUGACUACUAUGAAUGGGAAGAUGACGUCAUAAGAAAGGAGGAAUACAACAUUCAAGCAUUCAAAACCAUGUGUUGGAAGGGAAAGUAAAGACAAAGGAAAUAUUGUUGCUACGAGCACUGAGAAUUCUGGUGUAGUGAAAUCGGUAACAGGUAUCAUAAAUGCCUCUAAAAGAAGGUUGAAGUUAAUCAUUUUACGGAAGAGCAAGACAAGAAGAAAAUUUGCAAAUCUUUGAAGAGGAAUCUGAUGGAGCAAUUGAUGAGAAAAGUUACAAGCCUGAUGGAAGCGGAACAAUAUUUUCAGGACUUUAUAUUUGUCAACAGGAAAGAAAUGUUGCUUGCUGAUUGAAAAUAUAAUGUUGAAACACAUGAUGGGGAAAAGUUAAAACUUGUGUGCUUAUCCUAAUCGUAAGGUUUUUGGUUUGAGAAAGAGGGGACAAUGAACUGAACAUUUUGAACCAGGUUCUGUAUUGGAAAGUAUAAAGAUGAGCUUCAAUUUAUGCUCUUCCUAUGGAUGUCCGCCUCUUCUAGGUAGACAAUAUGAUUGCAAUGUGCCUUCAGCUUGAAGCUACCAAAUAGAUUGUUGAUCGUCAUUUUUUUUUGUCGUGGGUUGACAGAAUAGUGAUUUCACAGCAAUAUCUACAACUUCNAACUUCUACUAUUGAAAGCAUUGAUAUUCUAGAUUUGAGGAGCAUUACGGCCAAUGGCAGAUCUAAGCGAUGGCUAGCUAGGGUGGCCGCCUUAGCUGUAUUGGUUGGAACCGUCGAAGAAUUUUUUUUUGUUAACAAUAGAUUAAAUUUUUAUAUUAUAUUACUUGUAACUCAUUUCAUUUUAAAACUUCUCUAGCAACUCAGUUGGUUAGAGCUUGCAUGUGCAUAUUUAAAGUCUUGGGUUUGAAUCACUUGCCAAUGAAUUUGUUUUGUUUUAUUUUUAUUCUAUAAUUUUUAUCAAAACUCAAUAAGGAGGGGGAUAAAAGGGAUUUGAACAUGUGACCAUUUGGAAGGGUUGUUCUAAACUUAAUCAUUACGGCAUUUCUUGAGUUGUGUCACUAAAUUUAACAAAAUAAUAUUUGUUAAGUUUUAAUGCAAAAACAAUUGCAAAGAUUUGAAUUUGCGCUCUUACUUGAAUUUAUACAAAACUUGGCACCAAUGUCAUUCGAUGAGUUAUUUUUAUAAUAGAACUAUAUAUGUUCAAUUUAAGCAAAGUAAUUGUUUUAUUUAAACUUUAGGCCUUGUUCAAUUCCCAUUUUUUUCUCUUCUUUUUAUUUACAUAUUUUUCAAUAAAAUAAUAUUAUACGCAAAUUCAAAAUAUUUCUUUAUUUUUAGCCAGCUUUUUCCAUCAAAUCAUUAUUUCAAAAUGCAUUUUUUUGCAAAAAAGAGGUAUAAAUUAACUAUUAAUAUUUUAUUACGACCGACGUAAAUGGUCAACAACUGCCCGUGCUGACUCAAACUUCUGAAUUCGUCCCUAAUUAUGGCAAGGUGUGAAACCUAUAGAUAUAGUAUUUGGUUCAUUUCAACGAAGAAUCACAUCCCGAAGAUGCAUGGAUGUUGGUUCAAGAGCUCAAGAAGAUUUCCGAAGCAUUCUGAAAAGAGUUGUCUUUGGGCAUUAAGAUUUCUUCUCAACUAGAGAAGAAUGAUACACGUUCAUGAUUAGGUGUGAAAUAAAUCAAUGAGUUUUGUGUAAGUUCCAAGAAUAUUACGUUUUGAAUUUGUCUUGGAAGUAUGCUCUAAAUAUCUAAAAUGAUAUAAUAUUCUGAAAAAUGUUUAUUCUUCAAUAUGUAAAUCGUGAGUCACGUCUCUAUCUUUAUUUGAGGGGUAAAUCAGCUGAAAUGGUCCAGAUUUGAGGAAGGAAAAAAUUACUUUUCCAGUAUCCUUGUUUGGAGUUCUCUCUCUUUUAAUUAAUCAAGUGUGUUGAGUCAUCUUGAGUGACUUCCGUGAUUAGCGACAGUUUCAUCACCCAGACAGAGUGACAUCUUGGGCUCUUCUUUGUUGUUCAAAUAUUCUCAAAUUUUUCUCUUUCAACUGAUGCUAUUGGAAAUUGCCUUAGUCUCCGUACUUGUAUAUGCCCAAGUGUUUAAUUGCAGUGCCUUUAAAAAAGAAUAAUAUUAUUUAGUAUUAGUGUUAGUAUCAUAUUCGAUAUGUUUAAUUGAAUGAAUUAAAUGAUAUUGUAUUUAAGUAAAUUUAUCAUUUAAUGUUAUGCAGUUGUCAUUUAAAAUUGCGCUUGGUGAUUAGCAUUACUCCACCAAAAAGGUUUUGCAAAAUCAAAUCUUGACCACUUCACUUCAGCCGACAUAGCUGUUGACCAUGUUCCAAAAAGAGCCUUUGCCUCGUAACAAUGAUAAAACAACUACCAUUUAGUAAAGGACAUUAUCUAAAAUAUCAGAAAACAAAGUUGACUUUCUGCAAUCGCAUUGUAAUAAAAUCAAUAUUUAUAUAAAGUUAAGAUAAACAGUAGAAAUAGGUUGAUCAAAACAUUGUAACAUAACAGAAAUACAUAUCUAGGAAAUAUUUUCUGGAGAUUACUCAAACAUGCAAAACUUGGAAUUCGCAACUGUGAUGCCACCAUCCACAAAAAGGUUGUGUCCAUUCACAAACUUUGACUCAUCGCUUGCCAAGAACAUAACAGCUUCAGCCACAUCUUCUGGCUUAAGAAAAACACCUUUGAGAAUGGAAUAUACACUACCAAAUCCUUCAUCAUCCAUUUUGUAGAAAUCCUUUGAUUGCCGUGUAGGAACUACGUGCGGUGACACGCAGUUUACUCGAAUGCCAUAUUUUCCAAGCUCCACAGCCAUAUUCUUUGUGAGUCCUACCACCCCAUGUUUUGAACUUACAUAAUUGUGUGAAGAACCACCGCCUAUUUUCGAACAAGUACUAGCUGUUGUGAUUAUGUUCCCACUGCGAUUUGGGAUCAUCACUCGAGCAGCGUGUUUAGCACCCAGGAAUGCACCUAUGAG
rnacentral:lncRNA from 1 species